AGCAUGUAGGUUGAGGUAGUGCUCCCCUAAUUUUCCGAGUGAGGAAAACUUCUCUUUUGGAAACUUGAAAAAUUCAAGUCACUGAGUGGUCGUGAGACUUCCGAGUAUCAAGGUGCAGUAGCAUAUGGUAGGAGUCCCCCAAGUUUCCGGUCGAAGUAGUUGACGAAUGAGGCAUUUCCUUUCUAAGUGGUAGCUCAAAACUCCUUCUUCAUAUAUAUUUGUUAUGAAAGUUGUUAGACUCAUAGAAUAGGAGGCCUAGGCAAUUUUUAUUUUAUUUUUUUGAAUUUUUUUUUUUCGAUUUUUUUUCGAAUUUUUGAAUUUCCAAAAUUUUGAAUUUUUGAAUUUUUGAAUUUCUGAAAAUAUAUAUAUAUAUAUAUAUAUAUAUUUUUUUUUUAAAGCUUUGUAAGUGAAGCUUUGGUGUUGAAGCUUUGAGGUUGAAGCUUUGUUGGGCACCAUGAAUUGAUUUUGCUUCACACUAUCUUGAUCAAGAUAGUGUGAAACUUUUGUAGGUGAAGCUUUUGUAUUGAAGCUUUGUAGGUAAAGCUUUUGUAUUGAAGUUUUGUAAGUGAAGUUUUUGUGGGUGAAGUUUUUGUGGGUCAAGCUUUUGUAGGUGAAGCUUUUGUAUUGAAGCUUUGUAAGUGAAGUUUUUGUGGGUGAAGUUUUUGUGGGUCAAGCUUUUGUAGGUGAAGCUUUUAUGGGUCAAGCUUUUGUAGGUCAAGCUUUUGUAGGUCAAGCUUUUAUGGGUCAAGUUUUUGUGGGUCAAGCUUUUGUGGGUGAAGCUUUUGUAGGUGAAGCUUUUGUGGGUGAAGCUUUUGUGGGUGAAGCUUUUGUGGGUGAAGCUUUUGUGGGUGAAGCUUUUGUAGGUCAAGCUUUUAUGGGUCAAGCUUUUGUGGGUCAAGCUUUUGUAGGUGAAGCUUUUGUGUUGAAGCUUGCUUUUGUGGGUGAAGCUUUUGUAGGUGAAGCUUUGAAGUUGAAGCUUUUGUUGGGUACCAUGAAUUGAUUUUGCUUCACACUAUUUUCAUCAAGAUAGUGUGAAGCUUUUGAGAAUUUGUAGUUGUCCUCCAUUGAUGAAGCUUUGGAGUUGAAGUUUUAUAGGUGAAGCUUUGGAGUUGAAACUUUUGUUGGGUACCAUGAAUUGAUUUUGCUUCACACUAUCUUGAUUAAGAUAGUGUAAAGCUUUUGAGAAUUUGUAGUUGUCCUCCAUUGAUGAAGCUUUGUUGAAUUUCCACACUGUUGAGCAAGAGAUUGUGAUGCAAGCCACACCUUGUAUUAGUCGAAGGUUUGGAUGAACCAUAUAAAUUGAAUUUGCUUCGAAGGUCUAAGAAUUGUAGUUGCCCUCCAUUGAUGAAGCUUUUGUUGGCACCAUAAAUUGGUUUUGCUUCACACUGUCAUGAUCAAGAGUGUGUGAAGCUUUUGAGAAUUGUGGUUGAACUCCUUUGGUGAAGCUUUUUUUGGCACCAUAAAUUAGUUUUGCUUCACACUGUCUUGAUCAAGAGUGUGUGAAGCUUUUGAGAAUUGUGGUUGCCCUUCAUUGAUGGAGCUCUUGUUGGCACCAUAAAUUGGUUUUGUUUCACACUGUCUUGAUCAAGAGUGUGUGAAGCUUUUGAGAAUUGUGGUUGAACUCCUUUGAUGAAGCUCUUGUUGGCACCAUAAAUUGGUUUUGCUUCACACUGUCUUGAUCAAGAGUGUGUGAAGUUUUUGAAAAUUGUGGUUACCCUCCAUUGAUGAAGCUCUUGCUGUUGGCACCAUAAAUUGGUUUUGCUUCACACUGUCUUGAUCAAGAGUGUGUGAAGCUUUUGAGAAUUGUGGUUGCCCUCUAUUGAUGAAGCUUUUGUUGUCACCAUAAAUUGGUUUUGCUUCACACUGUCUUGAUCAAGAGUGUGUGAAGUUUUUAAGACUUGUGGUUGAACUCCUUUGAUGAAGCUCUUGUUGGCACCAUAAAUUAGUUUUGCUUCACACUAUCUUGAUCAAGAGUGUGUGAAGCUUUUGAGAAUUGUGGUUGCCCUCUAUUGAUGAAACUCUUGUUGGCACCACAAAAGCUUGACCCACGAGGCUUAUGUAUUGAUGAAGCUCUUGAUGCAUAAAAUCAGUGAGGACUUUGGUACAACAUAAAGUGUUAAGUUUGUGACAUUCGCUAGAUUGCUCCGGUCACUAGUAUGGAUAAGUAUGUAAAUGGAUAGAGAUAGGGAAGCAAACACAAGAUGUACGUGGUUCACCCAAAUUGGCUACGUCCACGGAGUAGAGGAGUUCUCAUUAAUUGGGAAGGGUUUACACAAGUACAUAGGUUCAAGCUCUCCUUUAAUGAGUACUAGUGAAUGAUUUAGUACAAAUGACAUUAGGGAAUAUUGUGAGAGAAUGAUCUCUAUUUAUAGAAGAUAGUUUCUAAUUUCAUUCUGAUAUUGACACGUGUCGUGUUGUGAUUGGCUUCUGAUGUUGACACAUGUCGCGCUAUGAUUGGCUUCUGAUGUCGACAUGUGUCGCGCUGUGAUUGGCCUCCUGGUUGGAGAGAAACUCUUCUGGGUCCUUGAUGGUAUAACGUUGACCGGUACUCAGUAGUUUCGGGAUUGGUCAAGUAUGGUACAAAUAAAAACAAUACCAAACGAAGCAUAAAACCUAUUAACAAGAAGUUGAGGAAUCUAAUUUCCUCAUGUCUUAAUUAGCAUCUUAACACUAAUUAGCUCGCAAAGAUUUGACUAAUAUACAUAACAAUAAUCAAUCUAACCGAUGAAGAAGCCAUGAAGCCACUCUUCAAUGUUGACCUUCUCCUCCACGUCAAAUUCUCAAUGUUAACAAUAGGUCUUAGUUCAAUUGCGAGAAUAUUCAUGGCUGAAGCGACCGGCAUACUCUCGUAGUGACUCGUCCGGCUUCUGGCAAAUAGUGUACAAGUAAUCUGCAGAAUGCAAGUGAUCGAUCUGGAAGAUGUGUUGAGAGACAAACAGUUUCCUUAAUUCCUCAAAUGAGUCUACUGUCUCAGGUGGAAUACGGCAAUACCAGUUUAGAGCUCCGCCAGAAAUAGUGGAGGGGAAGAGAAGACAUCGCUCUUCGUCGGUGUGCAUUCGAUAUGCCAUGGUGGACUCAAAGAGGUUAAAGUGUUCAAUUAGGUCCUCCCUUCCUGUAUAGAGUUGUAAACCAAGCUUUUGUUUUGUCUUCGCUUGAAGGGGCGUGUCGAUGAUCCUUCUUAUGAGAAGGCCAAGCCUGGGUUGGUUCCAGUCAGGUAUCUCGGCCUAACGUUUGGCAUUCAACUUGUUUACUUCCUCAAGGAGCUGUAGGGCAAUGGGGUCCUGAGUGGAGUCAUGUGUCACUGGAAUUUUCUUUCGUAAGUCUUCAUCGCCUCUUGGAAGUAGGAAAGUUUAAGCAAUGACGUGUGGUUUUUUCAUGGACUCGCUGUACUGACUUUUAGGGCAAGUAUGUCGGAAUACCUCAGAGUCCCCCAUACCUUCAUGUUCCUCUGGGACCAGUCAUUCCUUCCCUAGAUUGGCAGUUGGCCUGGGUCGUGGGAGGGGAUCGAGUCUUUCAGAAACCCUUGGGUCAUUGAUUUUCGAGCAUAUGUGGAGGGGAUUUUUUCGACGUUGCUUUAGGAAGUCUCGGCAGUCACGAUAAAUGGUUUUCGAUCCUUCCAACCUUUCUGCAAGGAGGUGUCUUCCUCCACUUUUUCUACUUCGGGUCGAAGCAUCUGGGUUGAAAGAAGUCUCAUGUUGAUCAAUGUUUUGAUGAUUAGCUCGCUCCUCAUCAGGGAUACCCAUGUCGAAUGGAGGUGACCCUCCGUGUUGGGGGGCACCCAGAUGAUAGUUGAUGUCCAUAGGGGUAACGAGCUUCCGUGUUUGAGUACGCUUAGUUUCGUGGAGUGUCUUAAAGAGCUUCUCAUACUGCUCCUGGAGGACCUCAUUCUUCAUUUCUAUCUUGUUGUUCUAAGCUUUUAGCUCAUCGACUUUAGCUUGAAAAGCAACCAUCUUUCCUUCAUUCUUUCGUUUCUUCGCACUAGGUGCAAGAGGGGUGUCAUUCUAUGUGCUGUGGCUUCCUUCGCUCCCCAUGUUGGAAAGGGAUGCCUGGUCAAAAUAGAGUGUACGAAUGGUGGAAACCAGCUUGGCAAAGCUGAAGAGAGUGGGAAUAAGUGUCGUUCCCACAGACAGCGCCAAAUGUUGAUACACAAAAUCAGCGAGGACUUUGGUACAACAAAAAGUGUUAAGUUUGUGACAUUCGCUAGAUUGCUCCGAUCAUUAGUGUGGAUAAGUAAGUAAAUGGAUAGGGACAGGGAAGCAAACACAAGAUGUACGUGGUUCACCCAGAUUGGCUACGUCCACGGAGUAGAGGAGUUCUCAUUAAUUGUGAAAGGUUUACACAAGUACAUAGGUUCAAGCUCUCCUUUAGUGAGUACUAGUGAAUGAUUUGGUACAAAUGACAUUAGGAAAUAUUGUGAGAGAAUGAUCUCUAUUUAUAGAAGAGAGUUUCUAGUUUCAUUCUGACUUUGACACGUGUCGUGUUGUGAUUGGCUUCUGAUGUUGACACGUAUCGCGCUAUGAUUGGCUUCUGAUGUCGACACGUGUCGCACUGUGAUUGGCCUCCUGGUUGGAGGAAAACUCUUCUGGGUCAUUGACGGUAUAAUGUUGACUGGUGCUCAGUAGUUUCGGGAUUGGUCAAGUAUGGUACAAACACAAAAUGUAUUGAUGCUAGGUGAAUAAGUCGCAACACAAAAUGAAAACGGACCAAUGCCAAAUUAAAAUGUAUCGACCAAAUUUAUUUAUUGGUACUAGAUAAAGUACGGACCCAAUUUAUUUACCCAUUCUAUACAUGCCACUUCAAGUAAUGCUUAGAAAGUACAUGCCUACUAACACACAAUUAACUUUAUAAAUUAAAUAUGAAAAUAAAUGUACCAAUCAACAAUAUUAAUAAAAUCGCUUUGAAAAAAAUGUAUAAAGUUAAAUUGAAUAUAGAAAUAAACGUACCAAUCAACAAUAUGAGUAAAAUUGCUUUAAAAAAAUAAUAUAUAUAUAUAUAUAUAUAAUCAAACGAUUGUGGUGGCACUAGUGGCGGUUGUGGUGGCAGUUGUGACGAUUGUGGUGGCGGUGCAGUGGUGGUGGUGGUGGCAGUGGCGGUGAUGUAAGGUUAGUGUUUAUAGUGGUAAGUGGUGGCAAUCAUUUUAUUCUCCAAGGAUUAAAUGUGUGUAGAAGGAUAAAAUAUGUUAUUUUAAAAAACUAAUGAAGGUAUUACAAGAAUUGAAAAUUUUCAUUAAAUGCUCAAUUCCUUUUAAAAACAACCUAUAUGCUUCUUUUAAAAAUUGUUGUAUGGAGACUAUUGUUUUUAAAAUAAACAGAAUAUUUUAUUUUUACCAAACACUUUUUACUGCUUAACUAUAAAUGAAACAAAUUUCGAUAAAAAAAAAACAACACCAAACGAAGCAUAAAACCUAUUAACAAGAAGUGGAGGAGUCUAAUUUCCUCAUGUCUUAAUUAGCAUCUUAACACUAAUUAGCUCGCAAAUAUUUGACUAAUAUACAUAACAAUAAUCAAUCUAACCGAUAAAGAAGCCAUGAAGCCACUCUUCAAUGUUGACCUUCUCAUCCACGUCAAAUUCUCGAUGUUAACAAUAGGCCUUAGUUCAACAAUGAGCAUAUAUUAUUCCGUUAUACUUUCAAAACCAAUAUGAACUCAAACAUUCGGCUAAAAUACACCUCAUAUUCGAACAAUAUAUUUUGUUAAUUGUGAAAGGUGAUUUGGAAGAUAAUUGUGAUACUUGAUGCCAUGCGCGCUCUCGAUUUCUAACUACUCAUGCCGCCAUUGUCAUUGGGUAUGACCGGUGACAACUUGGUGGAAACGUAGCAAUUCGACACGAUUAUUCUCCAAACAUAUGAUUGUUGAGAGCCUGAAUCCUAUGUAAGGGUGGGCAACGGUUAUGCCAGACGGGUAACCGCGGUUAUUUACUUAUAACUGUUUAUGCUCAUACUCGCAUAACCGUUUACCCAUUUGGUAAUUGCCUAAAUUGUUAUACUCAUACCUAUAACCGUUUAUAAACGGUUAACCAUACCAAUAAUCGCAUACCCAUUUAACCGUAACCGUUUAAUACCCGUUUACUCAUUUUUAACUUGUUUAUCUUUUUCCCAUUUUUAACUUGUUUAUCUUUUUUUUUUACCAUUACCCAUUUUUCACCCAUCUACAUGUUUUUUAACAAAUUGAAAUUUUAAAAAAAAUUUGUCAUAAUUUUUUUUGACAAUUAAACACCGUUAUAGGGGUACAUUCAUUAUACAUUUCCUUAUUUUAAUUUUUUAAGUCCUUAUACCGUUUCAAUAAUUGAAAUAAUAGUUUACAGACGAUAUUUUUAAGGGGUGUGAUAUCCACACACCCCAUUUUACUUCUCACACACCUUUUUAAUUUUCGACCGUCGGAUCAGAUGAAUUGAAGAAGAUCAACGGACAAUAAUUAUUAAAGGUGUGUGAGAAGUAAAAUAUGGUGUGUGGAUAGCACACCCCUAUUUUUAACUGUUACCAAUGAAGGUAAUAUAAUAUUUGCUAAGUAUUCUUGGGUUAUGAAAACUGUUUAGAAGACAGUAUUUUUGAGUUAUUUAACCCAUAGUGCAAAGUAUUAACAUAAUAUAUAUAAUGAGCUACAUUAUUUUAUAAUUAGCUAUAUAAACCAUGCACUAUAGUCAAUAGCAUCAGAGGUGCAAUUUGGGCUGAGCCAACCCGAACCCGCCCAUGUCUAACCUGACUUUAAACUCGAAUAAGCGAAUUUUGUUGUUGUUAUAACCCGCCUGAACCCAACCCGAUUUCAACCCGUUCAUUGAUUGGGUUGGAUUGGGUUGAUCAUUUGUCCAUCCCAACCCAAUCCAAUUAACCAAACCCUAUUAGGUUGAGCUGUGCAACAUACUUCUCAAUAACCUUUGCACCUUUGCACCUUUGCACCUUUGCACCUUUGCACUUUCAUGAGAACCUACUGAUAUGAUAUACAAUUUGACUUGAAAGGAAUCAUAUUAAGUUUAUUUUGCUUUUCACAUCACAUCCUGUAGAACAACUUCCUUUAUUAAAUUAAUAUUGCAACUAUUCGACCUCUCUUUGAGAUCUGCUUCACAGUUUGAGUUGUGAUUGUUUCUUAUGCUGAUUCAGACGAAGUAGGCUAUUGAGCAAGUAAAUUUGAGGGAAAGUGAUUUUAAGGUCAGUUGUUUGCUAAUACAAAUAGGUUGACAUCAUUGUUGAAAAACAUUAAACACUACUUGAAAAAGUUAGGCAACCCAAACUCAACCCAAGUAAAUCCAAACCCGAUUAAACCCGAGCCCGACUAAACCCGAUUAAAACCCAAUCCGAACCCGAACCCGAAUUGUAAAAGUUGGGUUAGGAUUUGGUUGAUUUUCCAACUCGCCCGAGUUGCACCCCUAAAUAGCAUUGAUCUAAGUUUUGUCCUAUAGAGAACAUGGUUUGUGUUAAUUUUACAUAUAUAAAAUAAAUGGGUAAACGGUUACCUGUUUAUAACCGUUAUUUAUACCUAUAACCGUUUAUUUAUCUAAAUAGUUACCUAUAACCAUAACCGUAAAGUUUAAAUAAGUGGGUAACUGCGAUUACAAGGUAUUUUACCCAUAUUCCCAUGUCAGAAAGUAAAGCAUUGCCGUAUAAUUUAAAUUAUCUUAGAUCAGUUGAUUUUAGACCGAAUGUUCACAUUCUAAAAUUUCUAAUAACGUCUGCGUUGGUUGUGAUAUGAGUUCUGCACCUCCGAUAUUGUAAAGCAUUAAAUAAAGGCCCAAUUACAAAUUCAUAAUUUUGGCCCAUGGUUUUUGGGCCCAGAGUAAGGUUGCGUAAUUUCCAGGGUCAAGUUUUAAAUUUGAUGCUUAAAUAGCAAGCCCAACCUUUUGCAAUCUCUUACAUGGGCAUUUUCCAGUCUUUACUUUUCAUUUUCAUUUUUACUUUGGAAUUCUAAUCCUGUAUAACAGUACAUGUGGAAAAUCUAUAUCUUUUUUUCUUUUUCUGCAUAUUCCUGUUUAGUUUUGUUAUUUGAUUUUCUAAUACUUUAUUUCAUUCAAAGGUUAGAAAUGAGCAAGAUUUGUGUGUGGGAGAAAAAAGUGUGUGCGACAAUCAUUUCUCAUUUCAUUUUUUAUCGAGGAGAUAAGAGAUUCAAACUUAAAAUCUCUUCUAACAUUGAGAAGUAUCACUAUUGUACUAACGACUAGUUGGUAAUCUUGCACAUGUGUUCAAAACCAAAAAAUUUCUAUUUUGUAUAAUGAGAUGCAAAAUUUAGAUUGCAACGAAGUUCUUCUUUUUAUGCAUGUGAGAGUGAAAUUGCAAUAAAUCGAACAACUUCAAUUACAUAUAUAAGAGUUUCUUUUCUUGUUUGUUAGAAAAUUUUGUGCAGAACGGUUUCAUAUUACAUAUGUAUCUUUUUACUUUUUAUCACGUAUCUUGUCAGGUGACUUCGCAAUGAGAGAUAGAAACACGUCAAGAUACAACGAUUGUUCCAAGAAAGUUUUCUAGUGGUAUGAGAAAGUUAACGAAAAGGGUUGGGACUUGGGAGGCGUUACGUCGUUAUCUGUAACGGUCUUAACAUGGAGCCAAGAUGGGAUGGUAGGGUUUUCGUGUGCAUGAAGGAUGCAGAUGACCUGAUCUGCCUUUCCCUUUGUGCUUGUGACCUCCUGCAAUUUCCAUAUCGACAAAACUUUUGCCCCUUGAUGGAAAUAUCCAACUUUGUGGGGGCCACCAGUCCAAUCCAUGCAUGGAUCCGGCCCGUUCAAUUUUCAUCGCCAGAAUUCAGUUGAUCACCUUGAUAUCAUGACCUAAUUCAAUCAUCAUUUGGAAGACUUUUUUGUCAAAUAAAACGAAAUAAUUGAUUAAUAUGAUUACAAGAUUAAUUCUUCAUUUUCAACAAUAUUGUAGGAUUUAUUUACUAGAGUGAUAGAAGAUUUGAACUUGAAUCCAGACCGCUUUAAAAACUCGUAAAAAAAUAGUAUCAAUGACCAUUUCCUCCUGUUUUGGAGGCAAAUUUGGUCCACUGUUUUUGUGCAUGAAUAAUGGUUGCCUUUAGUAUUAUUUGCUACUUUUUCUUCAGUAAAACAAUAAUACUGUCACUUUCUAUGAUGCCCAUUUCACACUAGCAUGCCCUGGAAGAACUAAAUAUCUUUUGUCAACAAAAAUCUUCCAUAGGUUGUUCCAAUCCAAGCUAGCCUUGGGUUGUCAUGAUGAUUUUGGUUUUAAUACAAAGUAAAUGGUAUAUAUCAACCGACCAACUGUAUAAGUUACUGUCAGUCGUUAAUAUAUGAACGUUGGUUCAUAUAAAUCUCAUAGGUUCCAUUUGGUGUACGAAAUGAAAGGUUGUGAGUAACAGUUAUAUCCUUAAAGAAAAUAUUGACAAAUUAUGUAAUGUACCCAUCCUGCAGUCCUCAUGUUGGCCAUAACCCUACCCAUGUGCAAAUACAAGUGAACAUAUAUCUCUUUUAAUGUAAUCAAAAUUAAAUUGAAACUUAAAACUUAAAUAAGAUUAGGGUUUUGAAUAUUCUAACGUGCAUGGGUUUGGUGACAUAGCAGGUUUAUUCGGUCCCUCGUACACUAGCAAAAGAGCUUGAAAUUAAUUAAUAUAAUUUUAAUUAAAUUAAAUAAUAAUGAUUAAGCUGAGUAAGAAGGAAGAAAGAUCUCCUAAUUAAUCAUCUCCCAAUUGGAUGCAUGACAGUAGCAUUUGGCCCACGUUCCGGAGUAGGCUCCAUCCUCCAUAACAUGCACAUGAGCUGCCAACCAUUUGGUCUCUCUGGGACCGCAUCAUAUUCAUCUGCAGUUAUUUGGAUUCUCAUACGAUCGACACAGAGAGAGAGAGAGAGAGAGAGAGAGAGAGAGAGAGAGAGAGAGGUUUGCAUUGUGAUGAGUGUGAACCCAUGAGACGUUGCAUAGUAUUAUCUUCUGCUACUAUCCCUCCCCAUUGGUUCUGCAAACCCAACACCAACCAAGAUAAGCGUUAGGCUAGUCGGUCGCCUUACCGCUUCUGGUGACGGUAUACUGUUGAUGUAUGUAUAAAUAAUGAACGACUGAGUUUAGUAUUCAUCUAUCUCUUUUGAAAUACCAAACGUACAAUAUGUGACAUUUGUGUAACAAAAGCCGUCUCCUUAUUCUUAUACUUCCAACACCUAGAGUAGUACGUAGCAGUGGUAGUCUUAUCGCACUUACUGACCUUUUUGUUUCAAUUGAUUCUCUCGAUUGAUAAGUGGCCGGUGUUUGGUCCUAAAUAGAAAUUAGGUUAAAUUAUAAACAUAAUCUUUUUCACAAAUGUAUGUUUUACAAUAAGGUAGAAUAAUUAUGUUGACAAAAUUGAAGGUUUCAAUGUACGAUAGAUUAAUUGGAAUGUAGAUGAUUCUCAGUUGUUGAGGCAUUCACUUUAUUUGGUGCGGAUGUAUAAUUGAUGGACAGUCGUUCAUGCACGUGUGUUUGUAUGAAGAUAUGUAAAGCAACCCUCUAGAUAUGAAUAGACAUAAGGUCUUUGUAAGUUGGGCUACUACUAUAUAGCGAAUUAAUUUUAUGUUGAAACCUCAGCUUUAUUCAUGAUAUCAAAGUAGGGUGUUUCAUGUGUGAAGCCCAACGGCUACACGUGCUUCACAUCACUCAUUUUAUUUUGUCCAUGUGCUAAGCUUAAAAAUUCGUCACGUGAUGAGACGUGUUGGAGUAUUAAUCCUACAUCGAAAAGAAGGAAACUUGCAUUGACAAAUAAGAUACGCUAAUACCCAUAUUAUCAAUUAAUUUUAUAAAUUUUAUAGUAAAACCCAAACAUUUUUCAUAAUUUUCUUUGGAGUUAACUAAAGCCAGAAGUUUGUGGUGUUGUUAACUCACUACCUAGGAGUGGACAUUUUAACCGGUAAAUCGGGUCGAGAAAACCAAAAGAAUCGGGUUUGACAUUGUCACAUUCUUGUUGCAUUUUUUCCCAAAUACCGAAUGUAAUGUGCCAUUCUUGUUACGGACAAGGAUUGUCUGCCCUCCUAGUUGUGGUGCCCUUCUAUGCCCUCCUAUUUUGUGCGGUCACGGUUAAGCCACGUCAACAUUUUAUAUUAAUUUUUUAAUGAGAUAAUAAGACAAAAAACAAUAAAAAUAUAAAAUAUUAACGUGGCUUAACCGUGACCGCACAAAAUAGGAGGGCAUGGAAGGGCACCACAACUAGGAGGGCACCUUGUCCUUCUUGUUACAAAAGCCUCUUUAUUCUUAUCCAAUAGAAGUAGUACGUAGUCUUAUCUCACCUAAUGGUCUUUUCUGUCAAUUGAUUCUCUCAGUUUAUAUAUAAGCUUUGUUUGUUUCAAAAUACAAAUUAGCUAAAUCAUAAACGUAAUGUGUUUCUGUUUGGAUCUUACUGUACACCAUUGAUCUGUUUAAUUGAGGCUGUUGAAUUUUAAUAUUUUUCUUAAAUAUUACUAUUGCUGAUUCGAAUUCAAUAGAGAAAACCAGGCAUUAUCCAUUGCUGGUUGUUUGUUGGAGAUCCAUUUGUUGAUAAAGACUUACUCAAGUGAUGGCAAGGAUUUUCCAACUUGGCUUGAGUAAAGAAAAGAUAAAAGAAGGUACCAUCCAUUUGUGAUAUUAUCCCUUUGGCCAAUUUGAUAAUUUAUUCUUUUUGGCCAAUUUGAUAGUAUUUCCUAAUAGAAUGCUCAGUGUUCAUUAAGAUAAAGAUGGCCAUCAAAAGGCCUUUGGUAGCCACGGUAUGGACUUUACAACACGUUCAAGCGUAUUAGUCCUAUAAAUACAUAAAACCGUGUAAUGAGAAGGCAACCUUCAACUUAACAUACAAAUAUGCCUUGCACAAAUCUCGCUCUAGGCGAACACUUCUCACACUCAGAGAACUAACUAACUCACAUUUUGAGAAAUCACUAACUCUCCACUUUCCUAACUACUUAAAGCUCGAUUGAUUAUCUAUCCAAGUCUCAGCUGACGAGGAGUCCUUGAUUCUUUAAUUGAACGAGGUCACUUUACUAGCUUUCCAACCAAAUUAAGUGUUUUAUGCUUGGUUACUUCUGGUACAUUUUAGAGUUCGGUAUUCUGACGGUUGAACAACAUUUACCAUCAAGACAUUUAUCUCUUUCGAGUACGAGUAUCCUUACAGUUUAACUCCGAACUGAUCAGAGCACUUAUAUUUUCACAAAUAUAGUCGAGGCGGCCGAACCUGGUGCAAAAGAUCAUGAACUUCACAGUGACUAACAACCUUUUUGACAUCACCACCACAUUCAUUCUACUAACCGACCGAGUUCGAUGGCAAGUUAGCACGACCGCAUUCAUCAUAAUGACGUAGUUAGCUUUUUGUUAUUCAGUCUACGUGUAAGUAAACUUGAUAGUUUUUAAGGUCAACAAUUUCACAAAUUGUGCUUUACAUUCUAACAAGUUUUACGAUCUCAACUUAUACUAGACGAAGGCGGACGAUCGAUUGUUAGUUGUUGCUGCGAGUUUCAUUGUGAUUGCGGAUGUAUAAUUGACAUACAAUCGUAACGUGUGUUUGUGGGCAAAGCAACUCUCUAGACAUCAAAAGAUAAGGUCUUUAGUUUUAUUCAGAAUUUGAGGUGUCUAUAUAAGUCACAAAAACCAAGAAACCUCUCGAACUCGUACCUUGGAUGCAGUGGAUGGGUUCCUAUCACAUGGUUGUCGCCAAAGGCAACAGAAGAGUACUCGCUAUAAUACUAAAUUAACAUGGUCCACUAGACGGUGGCUUUCCACCCUUUUUGUCGAUCGUGAGAGUAUGAUUUGGCCAAAUGCACUGUUAUUCUCCCAAAGUCGAGGUCAAUUUAGUAAACUAAUAUAUAGAAGUUUUUAAAAGUCACUAGUCUAGUAGCGGGUAGAGGCCUGUCGCUUAGGGGGGCCUAGGUAAUUUUUUAUUUUUAAUUAAUUUUUUAUAUAAUAUAUAGAUAAAUAUCUACUUAUAUUUUUUUUAAAAUAUAACUGUAUUGAGAUACAUUAAUUAGAAAAUGGAACUAUAUAUAAAUUAUAAAGUAUUAGAAUUGAAAACAUGGGGAAUAAACAUAUAAUGAGUGUUCAUCUCAAUAUUUAACAAGUUUUUUACAAUUUAUUGAAAAAAUAAAAUGUAAAAUGAAAGUUAUCUAUUUUCUAUCUAAAUGAGAGUUACGAUCUAGACGAGCGCCUACGCAGAUCUAGACGCUCUUUCUUAGUUUUCAAACGUCUAGUGAUCAAUCAAAGCGAUGACUACCUGCUUAGCGCCUAGGCAGGCUUAAGCGAAGCUAGGCGGUAAUUUUUAAAAGAAUGUGAUAUAUAGUUAGUAAUGAUAGCUACAAGGAAGAAAGAAACAACCCCACUGUACGAAACCAAAAACACUAAGCUACGAUGUGUUCUUAUCAUCUUAAGUUGUCCUACGAAUAAGUUAUGAAACCUAAUAUUAUGUUGUUGACCUAACCAAGUAGCUAGUAGCUAGUAUCGUUCACAUCAUCACUCCUAAAGUAACUUGAGGUAAAUUAGUUGCAAGAUAGCUAGAAUACAGAUCCGUCAAGGGACAUUUUUGUAAGACACAUUUUUAUUGAAAGCGCUACAAAUUUUUAUCGAAAAUUCAAGUACAUCUUGUUGGAGCAUAACGUGGUAUUGUUUGCAUACAUCAUGUAAAACUUUUACAUGUUAGGAUUUAACAAAGCAAGUAUUUUACGUUUUCAUCUCUCACACUUCAUUGUGAUCGAAACUCAAAAGAAAGAUGAUAAUAAGGUCAACUAGUACCCUAAUGAAUAUGAUUUUUAAUUUUCCGUGUAUUGCAUUACGGUUAAAAUGCAAGAUUUUUCCAAUAUUAAACUAUCAUAAGUAGUGUGUGAUGUCAGAGAUAUUACGAGACGAAGAACUUGCUGGUUCUAGUAUGAAAAUUGUUUUUGAAAUUUUGAUUUAAAAUGAUUCAGUCUUCAUAGGUGUCGGCGGGUUGGAUUGGUUUUUAGCUUAAAAGACCAUUUCUGUCCAUUAAUGUUGGUAGUCAGUUGAAUCAAUUAUUUUUUCUACGUGUUUAAUCUUAAACAAAAUUAAAAAAACGGUUUGUUUGGGGAAGGCUGUUAUUUAUUUUUAUUAAUUUUGAAAAAGUCGCGGUAAAAUCCCGGACAACUGUCAGCAGCUGGAGUCACUGUCAGUCGCGCUUGCACGCCGCCGUAGCUUAUUAAACUCCGGUCACUCACUUCCGCUCGUCUUCCGCCGGAAACGCCCUUUUUUUUUUGCUCGAUCAAUAAAAAUUAAAGUUAAAAAAAAAAGAAAAGAAGAAGAACGUUUCUGAAUUACCAAUCAGCUCUUCAACUUCCAUUGGCCACAGCAGUACAGAGCACUGUGUCUCUCUACUUUCUCUCUCUACACACUCUCUCGUAUACUUUCUCUCUCUAUACAGAGAGAAACACAGCACGAGAGCUCUCUGUUGGUAUUUUUUACGGACGUACACGCGGUUGUGUAGGCGUAGAUUCCUUUGCCCCCACUGCGUCAUAUAAUUUUAUCAAUAAAUAAAUGCCAAAAAGCUCUCUCUCUCCCCGCUGAAACCGCAUUUAUACACAGAGAGAGGGCCUAUUCCUAACGUUUUCCUCAUUUUUAUGUGCUGCUUUGGUUUGCCUAUAUUCACUCCUCCUCCGGGGAUCUCAGCCGUCCUCCGCCGCUCUUGCGAGAAUUCACCGGCUCAGCUGUCACCGGCAAGUUUCUCUCUUUGCUUUGGUAUUUAUUUCUGCUGAAAUUUUAAGCUGUUUUUUGUUUGUAAAGUUGGAAACUUUGCUGUGAUGGAAUUGAUGGGUUUUGAGUAUGUUGAUUUUGUGCGGAUUUUGAGGGCAUAAGUGGGUAAUUUGUGGAUUUUGGGCAGAUGGGCAGAUGGGCAGCUGUUGUUUUAGCCCAGUGCAUACGUGGUCUACAGUGUACUGCUUUUGGAUUUCUGGGGAACCUAUAGAGAAUAAUUGCCAGAAAGAUAUGGUCUUGUAGUGUAAACUUAUUGAUUUCUGGGUGAAAUCGAAGGUUUCAUAUCUGGGUUUGUUUUAAUUCGUUGAAUUGGGGAUUUAUAUCUCGUGGAAUUGGACUAUUGGCGUUAUAAAAUUCUGGAGUUUUUGUGGAAUUUGGAUUUAUGGAGGCUUUUGGAGGCAGAGCUCGGAAUUUCUAUGGUACGAUGGUGCCGGAUUUGAAGGGGGCUGGGAAAAAGAGUUUGGAAUGGGAUUUGAAUGAUUGGAAAUGGGAUGGUGAUCUUUUUACCGCUAGUCCUUUGAAUGCUGUACCAUCUGAUUGUAGGAGCAGGCAGUUGUUUCCGCUUGGGCUGCCGGAAACUCCCUCCACUGCUGGUUUGUCCAACAGUUCUUCUUCUGGUUCGGACGGUAUCUGUCCAGGGAAUGAGAAAGGUAAAAGAGAGCUGGAGAAAAGAAGAAGGGCUAGUUUUGUAGAAAAUGAAGGGCUAACUGAUGAAGUUGGGUCUCUUAAUCUCAAGCUUGGCGGGCAAGCUUACCCAAUCAUGGAAGGAGAGGUACAACAUGGGAAGAAGACGAAGAUAGUUGGGACUACUUUAAACCGAGCAGUUUGUCAGGUGGAGGACUGUAAGGCUGAUCUUAGCAAUGCCAAGGAUUACCACCGACGACAUAAGGUCUGUGAUAUGCAUUCUAAGGCAACUAAAGCGGUGGUGGGAAAUGUUUUGCAGCGGUUCUGUCAGCAGUGUAGCAGGUUAGUUCAAUUCUAUGGUUGUCCUUGUAUGGUGAGAAAUAUUUCAAAUUUUCUUCAGUUAAGUUCUACGUCGUUUAUUCGGUGCUUUCUUAUAGACAUUGUUUCUAGAAGAUGAAAUACAGAGUUUGAUUUGUAAGUUUUAAAAAAAUUAUUUGUUGCUCUCAUGAUUUGGGUCCAUAGUUGUUCAUCACUGUGUUUGGUAUAGUCGAAUUUUGAAGAACUUUUUUGUUGAAUUUGGAAUGUGGUUAUACUUAUGGGCAGGUUUCAUGGCCUUCAAGAGUUUGAUGAAGGAAAGAGAAGUUGUCGUAGACGUUUGGCAGGCCACAAUAGGAGGAGAAGAAAAACACAUCCUGAUACUGUAGUUAAUGGAGGCUCAUUGAAUGAUGAAAGAGGAAGCAGUUAUCUAUUGAUUAGUUUGCUGAGAAUACUCUCCAACAUGCACUGUAAAUCUUUGUGUUAUUGCACAUUCAAUUUUUGGCUGCUUUGCCUGACAUUAAAUUGAUAUGCUAAGUGUAUGUUAAGUGGUUACCGGAUUGUGUGUUGAUUGCCAUAGACUGAUGUCAAAGUUCUUGUGGUCUUUUGCUCUUAGGUUUUGUCAUUAUUUGAUUGAGGCUUGUAGCAAAAUGAUUAUGUCAAUUAACAUUUAAUAACUCCACUCAUAAAUUUUUAUUUGUAAACAUACAACAUAUUACUUGAUGAGUCCUUAACUGCUUAAGGUGCUCUAUUUUUGUGUAUAAAUGACAAAGUGCUAGUUUCUCUGAAUUUAAUUUGAUGAAAAUUUGAAUAUUGAUGCUUACGCAUGAAAAGUUUUCAGUUUUUCAGAGGUUGAUUUGAUAGAAAGUUAGAAUUUUGUGCAGACCUUCAUGUCGAAAAAUAUUUCAAUUUUUAUAAUCCAGAUUACACCUUGUGUGCUUGAAUUUCAUCCCUUGAACCCUUGUUUUUUGCACUUUCUUUCUCUGAUUGUUGGACUGUCCAUAUUUCACAUUCUAGGAUGCAUGAAGGAAGGGCCUAUUAAAGGGAAUUCUAAUUAGGAAUUGUUAUUUAGGAAAUUAUGUCUCAGUGAUCAUGUUAUUAUAAUAUUUAUUUGAUUAUGUUUGUGUUUGUUUUUCUUCUCAUAAGUGUCUUACUCAACUCCACUUUUGAUGCCUAAAAUGCAGCUAAUAGUUCAGAUCAAACAAAGGAUCAGGAUUUGCUAUCUCAUCUUUUGAAGAAUCUAGCCAAUCUUUCUGGUACAGUUGAUGGAAGAAACAUGUCUGCAUUGCUUACGGCAUCUCAAGGUUUAAUAAAUGGCGGGGCAUCAAUUCAGACUGCACAAAAGGUCCCAGAUACAGUUUCCAACGGCUGUGAACCAAGUAAGCCUUCUGUUUCAGCCUCUAAAAUGGAUGAUUAUAUUAAUGGUGAGGACCCUUCAAGACCUAUACGACAGUGUUCUACGGUACCUGCAUCAGAUUUCAGGAGAAUAUCUUCAGUUGAUGCAGAUCAUGGAGGUCUACAAGUUGUUUCAGGUCUAAAUGCCACGAAGCCAUUUCCUUCAAGAGACAGUGUUCCAUCCACAUCAGUUGCACCAGAAGCUACAAUGGGGAGGAUGCAGUUAAAUGGCAUUGAUUUAAAUAAUACAUAUGACGAUUCCCAGGACUAUUUGGACAACCUAGGGAAUUCGCAUGCCCCUGUAAAUUCAGGGACAGUGGCUCAUGGUUUUCCCUUUUGGAUGCGUCAGGAUUCGCAAAAGUCUAGCCCACCUCAGACAAGUGGGACUUCAUGCUCAACUUCAUCAAGUUCUAGUGGAGAUGCUCAGGUAUAUUCUUGUUGUACUUGCAUCUCGUUCCUCGUUAUUGCUUGGUAUAUUAAUGCUUGUAUAUGCCAUAACCUGUCCUUUUCUGUUGGAUAAAAGAAUAGCUUUGUUCUCACUUUAAUUUGGCAUUUAGGUGACAAUGCUUUGCAUUCGACUUGUCCGUUUGUCUAGCCAAUUGAUUGAAAAAACAUGAAGUACUCGGCAUACCUAAUAAAUACUUCUGUUGUGACGUAAGAGUCAAGAUGGAUUCUCUUCUUUUGUAUAGUGCUUUGUAUGUAUAAAUGUGUGCGUAUGCUUCUGCUUGAUAAGGUUUAUAGAGUUGUAGUUAAACUACAGGAGGUUGCAGGCUAUAUCAGUUAGAGUUGAGUAUUUUUUAAAUAUUUUUUAUUAUGAAGGCCAGUGUGUAAAAUGUUACUGCACUGUUACGUCUCUUAACCACUCUUUUUCUGCCGUGUUUCAGAGUCGCACAGACCGUAUUGUUUUUAAACUCUUUGGAAAAGAUCCAAAUGAUCUUCCAUUUGUUCUACGAGCACAGGUAAUAUUUGGUGCCUUGAUUUAAUUCUUCACAAUGUAACUUGUGUUUCCUUGCACAUACAACAAUUUUAUGAAAUAUUUUGAAUAUCCAGAUUCUCAACUGGUUGUCCCACAGUCCUACUGACAUUGAAAGCUACAUAAGGCCGGGAUGUAUCAUUUUGACAGUUUACCUCCGUCUAGAAAAAUCCACGUGGGAGGAGGUAUGUUUCUGUGCUGAUGCCAAAAUGUUGAUUGCUGACCUUGUAUCAGGGAGAUCUCUUUUCUUGUCCUUAAUUGUUAUGUUUGCCUGCAGCUCUGCUGUAAUCUGGGAUCCAUUAUAAAACAACUUUUACAUGCUGCCAAUGAUCCUUUUUGGACAACAGGAUGGGUGUAUACUAGGGUGCAACAUUCUGUAGCAUUUACGUACAAUGGUUUGUUCUCUCUCUCUCUCUCUCUCUCUCUCUCUCUCUCUCUCUCUCUCUCUCUCUCUCUCUCUUAAUUAUUCAUUCAUAUAUUUUCUAGCUCAUUUAGUGAUUUACCAAUAGUUGUGUUAUGAAAGAAAAGACAUUUUAAAUAGUUAUGUCUGUACUGCAGGUCAAGUUGUCUUAGACACACCCUUACCUCUGAAAAGCCAUAAAAAUUGCAAGAUAUCAUGCAUCAAACCAAUUGCAGUUUCUUUAUCCGAAAGAGCUGAAUUUGUAGUAAAGGGGUUUAAUCUUUCUCGUGCCACCACAAGGUAUCCUUAUCUUUCAUUCAAGCUUCAUUAUGUAGACCACUCCAGUGUCAUAUGUUAUUUCUGAAUUAGUAACUAUCAGGAUAACUGGGAAGGAGGAAAGUACUAAGUCCUAGCUUGUGACAGGUUGCUCUGUGCUCUGGAAGGGAAGUAUCUAGUCCAAGAAACUUGUUAUGACUUGAUGGAUGGUGCUGAUACAACCUUUGCGAAUGAUCAGCUACAGUGCCUCAGAUUCUCCUGCUCUAUACCCAAUGUUACUGGCCGAGGACUCAUUGAGGUGCUGUUCCAUUCUUAAUAUAUGUUUUAUAUUUCCUUUGAAGUGUGCUUAUCAUUACUUAUUUAUUUAUUUUUAUUUCAGGUUGAAGACCAUGGUCUCAGCGGCUGCUUCUUUCCAUUUAUAGUUGCCGAGCAGGAAGUAUGUUCAGAGAUUUGUACCCUGGAGGGUGCGAUUGAGGUGGCUGAGACUGCAGAUAACAUCCAGACAGAACCUGAAAAGUUGGAAGCCAAGAACCAAGCGUUGGACUUUGUACAUGAAUUGGGUUGGCUCCUUCACAGAUGUCACACUAAAUUUAGACUUGGUCACGGGGAUCCCAACUUAGAACUAUUUUCUUUUAGACGGUUCAGGUUGCUUAUGGAGUUUUCCAUGGACCGUGAUUGGUGUGCUGUAGUGAAGAAACUCCUGGGCAUUCUGCUUGAGGGUACCGUUGACACUGGAGAACAUCCUUCUAUUGAGCUUGCGUUAUUGGAUAUGAGCCUCCUCCACGGAGCCGUGCAAAGAAAGUGCAGGCCUAUGGUGGAACUCUUGUUAAGAUUUGUCCUAGACAAAGGGUGGCAACAAGUUGACGGGGACGGCAGCAACUUCUUAUUUAAACCCGAUGCAGUUGGGCCCAUGGGAUUGACUCCUCUUCAUGUUGCAGCCAGUACUGAUGGAUGUGAGAAUAUAUUGGAUGCCUUAACUGAUGAUCCUGGAAAGGUAAUUUCUCAUUGUCUUCUUUGACAGUUUUCUUUCUAAUUGGAUGUAAAAAUCAGAACAGGUCUGCAUCAUUAUCCAUUUUUCUCCGUACGUGUUUGACCGUUUGCUCAUACAAAUGACUCAUGUCAGCUCAUUCUGUGUCUCACAUGAAUGUUGAUAUUUCAAAUCGUUGUAUUUUCAAGCAUACAAAUGUUGAUAUCUUUGCUUCUUUAGGUGGGAAUUGAAGCGUGGAAAAAUGCUCGAGACAGUACAGGAUUGACACCAAAUGAUUAUGCAUGCCUGCGAGGCCGCUACACCUAUGUCCAAAUUGUCCAGCGGAAAAUCAACAAGAAACAUGAAAGCGGGCACGUGGUGCUUGAUAUCCCUGGCGUUAUCUUAGACAGCAGCAGCAAGCAGAAACAAUUAGAUGGGCAUAAGUCCUCAAAAGUCUCCAUCUUGGAGACCGAAAGGAUCGAUAUGAAAGCAAUGCAGGCACAUUGCAAGCAAUGUGAAAUGAAACUAGCAUAUGGAAACACAAGGUCGUUUGUGUACAGGCCGGCAAUGCUGUCAAUGGUAGCCAUUGCUGCUGUCUGUGUUUGCGUGGCCUUGCUCUUCAAAAGCUCGCCUGAAGUCCUUUAUGUCUUCCAGCCCUUCAGGUGGGAACUCUUGGAGUAUGGACCGAGCUAAGGCAGUUUACGCGUCUCAAAUUUUAGUUACUCUGGCUUUAGGCCGUUUGUGUUAAUCAUAUGUAUAAACGGAUAACUCAAAUUUUAGUUACUCUGGCUUUAGGCUGUUUCUGUUGAUCAUAUGUAUAAACCGAUAACUCUAUAGGGAACAUAAUGUACCAGUUUUCGUAUCCGUUAAGAUUUCCACGAGAGGUGUUGCACUGUAUGUAUUAAUGAUAGUUCAUAUAAAGCGUGUAUAGGGAAAGAUUGACGUAAAUAGUACUAUUGACCAAUUGUUGAGGCAAUAGAUUGCUGCAUUACUUCCAAAAACACAUACAAACAUUGUAUUCGAUGAGGCGGAAGAUUCGGACUUGAAAAUUCUUUCGCUUUUAAGUCAGCUUUCUUAAACAGAAGACAAUAUUUAGUAGGGCGGCCUGACUAAUAAUUUCUUUCGCUUUUAAGUCAGCUUUCUUAAACAGAAGACAAUAUUUAGUAGGGCAGCCUGACUAAUAAGUAGGUUAGACUACUCUUGCUAAAUUUUAUGCAUUGAGAGUUGUAUUUACGUAAGACUGGAUGGUGACCAAAUACAUAGAAUCACGUUCCUUCAUGAGGGGAUAAGGCUGUCUCACAAAGGUUGGAGCUUUGUGCUUACUUAGAUACAUGAAUCUCGUUCUUUCGUGAGUCAACUUUUCAGGUUAUUCAACUCAAAUGUUAUGAAUAAAAUUGGGCCAAAAUUAGAUCAAACAGUUGUUUUUCUCCAAAUAUUUUUAAUUUGGUCAAAUGCAUGAAUCUCGUUCUUUAGUGAGAUAACUUUUCAUGUUAUUCAACUCAAACGUUAUGAAUAAAAUUGGACCAAAAUUAGAUCAAACAGUUGUUUUUCUCUAAAUAUUUUUAAUUUGGUCAAAUCCAAUCCGAGUCUAAUAUUAACUAGCAAAAAAAAAAGCAGAAAAAUGGAUUUUACAGGCUAAUAAAAUAAUAGGAAAAGGACUCCAGUCACAGAGACACGUUGACUCAUAUUUUGACAUGAAAUUGUUUUCCACUUCAACAAGUCAUAUUCAUGGUCCUUACAUAGUGUACACAAUUAUUACCUUGUUUAAUCUUUUUCAAUUAUUUUGUCGUUUUGAACCUUUUUUCUUUGGUUUAAUUGCCAAUAAUUCAAGCAUUAAAUCUUGAUCUCGAAAUGGAACAAUUUUCCGGUGUACUAAGAUCACGUUCACGUAAAAUUACUGGUUCAUUUAAAUUAUAUUACGUAGAUUUGUUAAUAUUAAGUUUAGGUUAAAUCUCACAAUAAUUAGUAAUAAUAUGACGAGAAUUAAACUUGAAAUAUAUCACUUAUAAUAAAAUAAAAUAUCAUUAGUUUAAAUAUUAAAAUGAUACACCUCGUAACUUGUAACGCUGUUAAUUUCUAAUCGAAAUCAAAAGGAGACGCGUCAUUUGAGGCCACCACCUCUCUCCUCUCACUCUCCCCACUGAAACCGAAUUUACACAGUAAGAGAACCCUUUUCCUAACCUUUUCCUAAUUUUCAUGUGCUGAUUAGCUUUGUCUCGGGGCCUAUAUUCUCUCUGCCUCAACUGCGAUCUCAGCCACUUCUUCGUCAGCUCUCAGUUCUCAGCUCAUCUCCCAACAAUUCACCAACCUGCCGGCAAGUUUCUCUCUCUUUACUCUCUCGCUCUCCUCUUUAUUUCCACAAAAAAAGAUUGGGUCUUUCAGUUCUUUCAGCUCAAGUUUCUUUCCAUGGAGUUGAAAGCAUUGACUAGGAUGUAAUUGUGGGCUUGCAAAUACGGUAUUUUGUACUGACUUGUUGAGAGAAAAACUGGGUAAUUGGUGGAUUUUGGGUUCUGGGCAGCUGUAGCCUGUAGUUUAGCUCCAUUUUUAUGCUGGUGUGCUGUUCUUGGUUUUCUGGGGUUCUUGGAAAGAACAAUUUCCAGAAAUUUCUGGGGCUGUGGUGUUAUUGACUUUUUGUUUUGGGGUGAAAUUUAUAGUUUUAUCUCUGAGCUGUAGUUGUUGUUAUUGUUCAAUUGGGUGUUUGUAUCUGGUGGAGUUUGACUAGGGGGCAUUGUAACAUCUCUGGGUUUUUUGUAUCUUGAUCUAUGGAGUCUGAAUUCGGAGGAAAGGCUUGUAAUUUUCGUGGUGUGAUGGUGCCGAAUUUGAAGGGGGUUGGGAAAAAGAGUUUGGAAUGGGAUUUGAAUGAUUUUAAAUGGGAUGGUGAUCUUUUUACUGCUAGUCCAUUAAAUUCUACACCAUCUGAUGGUAGGAGUAGGCAGUUGUUUCCGGCCAGGCCAGAAACUCCGUCGGAUGCUGGUUUGUCCAACAGUUCUUCUUCUGGUUCGGAUAAUAUCAGUCCGGGGAAUGAGAAAGAUCAAAGAGAAUUGGAGAAACGGAGAAGGGAUUUUUUUGUGGAAAACCGAGAGUUGAAUGAUGAAGCUGCGUCUCUGAAUCUUAAACUUGGCGGGCAAACUUACCCCAUUAUGGAAGAAGAAGUACAAACCGGGAAGAAAACAAAGACAAUUGGGACUACUUCAAACCGUGCAGUUUGUCAGGUGGAGGACUGUAAGGCUGAUCUUAGCAAUGCCAAGGAUUAUCACCGGAGGCAUAAGGUCUGUGCUAUGCAUUCUAAGGCAACUAAAGCGCUGGUUGGAAGUGUUAUGCAGCGGUUCUGUCAACAGUGUAGCAGGUUGGUUCCAUCCUAUUGUUAUUUAUUGUUUGGUUGAAACAUUUCCCCGAUUUUCUUGAAUUAACUUGAAAUACAGAGUUUGGUUGUGUAAAUUUUGUUGUCAUGCGUUUGUUGUGCAUGGCUGUUCAUCAAUCUUCUUACGGUAUGGUUGAGUUCUGCAGAAGGUUUUUUUUGUUGAAUUAAAUGUAACAGGGUUAACACUCGUGGACAGGUUUCAUGCUCUUCAAGAGUUUGAUGAAGGGAAGAGAAGUUGCCGUAGGCGUUUGGCUGGCCAUAAUAGGAGGAGAAGAAAAACACAUCCUGAUACUGCAGUUAAUGGAGGCUCUUUAAACAAUGAAGGCGGAAGCGGUUAUCUAUUGAUUAGCUUGCUGAGAAUACUUUCAAAUAUGCACUGUAAGUACUUGCCUUAUUCAUUGUACACUUCUGUCUUAGUGAAACAUUGUAUCUCAGAUUUAUUUGAAUCCGCAUAUUAUGCCAUUUAUAAAUUGCAGCUAGUAGUUCUGAUCAAACAAAGGAUCAGGAUGUCAUAUCUCAUUUGUUGAGGAGCUUAGCCAAUGUUGCUGGUACGGCUGAUGGAAGAAACAUAUCUACAUUGCUGCAGGGAUCUCAAGGUUUAUUUAACAGUGGGACAUCUGUCCAGACUGCACGAAGGGUUCUAGAUAUGAAUGCUGGUGUUAAUACUGAGGACCCUUUAAGGUCUAAAGGACACUGUUCGAUACUACCUGCAUCAAGAGACAGUUCUGAAUCCAAAUCAGUUACACCGGAAGCUACAAGUAGAAGGUUCCAGUUAAAUGAUUGAUUUAAAUAGUACAUAUGAUGAUUCACAGGACUAUGUAGAGAACCUAGGGAAUUCUCAUGUUCCUGCAAGUCCAGGCACUGCAUCUCUUGGUUUUCCUUCAUGGAUGCAGCGUGAUUCUCAUAAAUCAAGCCCACCUCAGACAAGUGGGAAUUCAGACUUAACUUCUACUCAGUCACCGUCAAGUUCUAGUGGAGAAGCUCAGGUAUAUCCUUGUAAUUGCAUCUAUUCCAUAAUUGCUUGGUAAUAUAAUGCUUAAAAAUGCCUUUGUCGUGGAUGAUGCUCAGCCCACUGUAAUUCGUCUUUUUUUUAAUCUUUUUUUCCAUGAGACCAGGGAUUAAUAUAUCAAUUGUCAUUAAUCAUUAUACGGCGUAUAACUUGUCUUUUGUUUGGAUAGUAGAAUACCUUUGUUCUAUCCUUGAGAGUAGUUAGGCAGUCAUGUAUUGUGUUCUGAACGUGUCUGUGUAUCUUUCCAUGGAUUGUCAAAAUAAUGGCGAGGUUAAGUGCGCUCGCUGCUUGGUUAUGGGAUAUAUGUAAGAAAUGCUUCAAUUGUGACUUAAAGUUGAGAUCAGUUAUCUCUUCCUUCAAACCAAUAUGGCAGUUUACAAGCGCAACCACACACACAAACAUACUUGUUGUGUAUACGUCUUCUUGAUGCUGUUAAUAGAAUUGAGGUUAAAGUUACCUGGUGGUUUCUGCAGUCCUAAUGGAACAUGCAUUAUUUAUGUAAAAGGCCAGUAUGUAGAAUGUAUCUGCAAUUUUACGUUUCUUGACUGCUCUUUUUCUGCCACAUAUCAGAGUCACACAGACCGAAUUAUUUUUAAACUAUUUGGAAAAGACCCUAAUGAACUUCCACUUGCUCUGCGAUCACAGGUACUAUAUUUCCUUUGAUUUUUCUAGUUUUCAAAGUACUUUUCAAAGUAUUUUGGUGUUUCAUUCCACGGACUCCAUGAUUUUUAUAAAUUAUUUGAAUAUCCAGAUCCUCGACUGGUUAUCUCACAGCCCUACCAACAUUGAAAGCUACAUAAGGCCGGGCUGUAUCAUUUUGACAAUUUACCUUCGUCUAGAAAAAUCCACGUGGGAGGAGGUAUUCUCGACUGUGGAUGGCAGAUCCUUGUAUGAGGAAGACUUUUUCUUCAAGUCCUUAAUUUUGACAAUUCACCUCUCCCAGACCCUGAUUAAAGCGGGAGCCUUGUGCACUGGGUACGACCUUUUUUUUUAUAAUUAUUUUUGCUUACAGUUCUGUUGUCAUCUGGGAUCCAGUUUGAAAACACUUCUUGAUGCUGCGGAUGAUCCUUUUUGGAGAACAGGAUGGGUGUAUACAAGGGUGCAAGAUUAUGUAGCAUUUACAUACAAUGGUUUGCCUCUCUCUCUCUCUCUCUCUCUCUCUCUCUCUCUCUCCCCCUCUCAUUUCGUGUGUGCGUACACAUUUGUGUAUUUAGGGUCUAUAGAAGAAUCUUGCUGUUUUAGUUUUCCAUUAUGCUUUAUUGAUUUUGGUCAUGCUUUGUUUUGUUAUUUCUAGUACAUAAUGAGGAUUGACCAAAAACAUUAACCUUAUAUGAGAGAAGCAUUUUGAUUAGUUAUGUCCAUCCUGCAGGUGAAGUUGUGUUAGACACACCCUUGCCUCUUAAAAGCAAUAAAAGUUGCAGGAUAUCAUGCAUCAAACCAAUUGCGAUCUCCUUAUCUGAGAGAGCUGAAUUUAUAGUAAAAGGCUUUAACCUUUCUAGUUCCACCACAAGGUUCUUUCAUCUUUCAUUCAUGCGUCAUUACUUUGUUUUCAAUAUUCCUCUCUAGUUUUAUAGGAUAACAGAAGAAAUACUAAAUUCUAGAUCUUGAGUCUUGACAGGUUACUCUGUGCUCUAGAAGGGAAGUAUCUGGCUCAAGAAACUUGUUAUGACUUGUUGGAUGAUGCGGAUAGCACUGUUGAGGAUGACGAACAACAAUGCCUUAAAUUCUCCUGCUCUAUACCAAAUGUUACUGGGCGAGGAUUCAUUGAGGUGCUGUCAUAUUCCUAAUUGUCCCUUUCCCCCUUCCUCCUCUUGUAAUGUGCAUUUUGAACGAGCCGUAUUUUAUAAGUCCGGAAUUUGUUUAUAAAUCUUCUUAUGAAUACUGAGUAUAGAUUUGUUUCUAGACAGCGCCUUAACUGAAAUCCACGGUUCUCAUUUUAUUGGUCAAAUUUAUGUCAGGUUGAAGAUCAUGGUCUCAGCAGUAGCUUCUUUCCAUUUAUAGUUGCAGAGCAGGAAGUAUGCUCUGAGAUUUGUAUGCUGGAAGAUGUGAUUGAGGUGUCCGAGACUGAUGAUGAUAUCCAAUCUGGACCUGAAAAAGUGGAAGCUAAGAACCAAGCCUUGGACUUUAUACAUGAAUUGGGUUGGCUCCUACAUAGAAGUCGCGUUAAGUUUAGACUGGGUCAAUUGGAUCCCAAUCUAGAUACAUUUCCCUUUAGACGGUUCAGAUUGCUCAUGGAGUUCUCCAUUGACCAUGAUUGGUGUGCUGUGGUGAAGAAACUCUUGGGCAUUCUGUUUGAUGGUACUGUCGACGCUGCAGAGCAUCCUUCCCUUGAGUCUGCACUACUGGAUAUGGGCCUCCUCCACAGAGCUGUGCGAAUCAAUAGCAGACGUAUGGUGGAAUUCUUGUUAAGAUUUGUCCCAGGUUUAACAGGAUCUGAGCAGAAGGAACAAGUUGACAGGGACGGCAACAGUUUCUUGUUUAAACCUGAUGUUGUUGGGCCCAUGGGGUUGACUCCUCUUCAUAUUGCCGCCAGUACUGAUGGCUGUGAGCAAGUAUUGGAUGCCUUAACUGAUGAUCCUGGAAAGGUAAUAUCUCCGUUUUUUGAAUUGCAACAUAAUAUUUUUCUUCUAAUUCUAUGUAGAAAUCACUUUGCGCUGGCUACAACCUCCAUCCCAUCUCCAUACCCAUUUGAACUCUUGCGCCUACAGUUGACCUGUGUCUGUUCUCAUACUGUUUCACACACGUGUUUUGAUGAUUUUAACUCAUUCUAAUUUCCAGCAUGUCAGGUUGCUCACGGAUUUUAGAUCUGUAAUCAUGUCUUCUUUGACUUUGAGCUCUCUCUUUAGCUUUUCCACUGUCUUCUGCCUAAACAAAAUACACUGAUUCCAGUUAUUGAGUUGUAUUUCAAAUUCUCAAUUAACCAAUCCUAGACAAAUUAUGCAGUCUUGUAUUUUCUUUGGCUUGCGAAACAUAUGAAACAUAAAUCACCGUAGAAAAGUUAAAUGCGCCAUUCAAAUUGGUAAAGAAAGCAGCACCCCACAUCUAAAUGCAUGCUAACUCUUUCACAGCUGAAAGCGGCACCCAAAUUCUACAUUCAACUUGAAAUCAAAUAGGACUGCUGUUAAAAUUUUUGACGAUAAAUGAAUUAUGAUUCUUUUCAUCGUUCUAGUUUCAACUUUCAAGCAUGUGUUUAGGACUGCUGUCAUGAAAUUUCUUUAGUGUCAGAUAAUCCAUUCAUCAAGUUGAUAUGGGCGUUUUUUUCUUUAGGUGGGAAUUAAAGCAUGGAAAAACACUCGAGACAGCACAGGAUUGACACCAUAUGAUUAUGCAUGCCUUCGAAGCCGCUACUCCUAUGUCCAUAUAGUCCAGCGGAAAAUCAGCAAUACACUGGAAAGCGGGCAUGUGGUGCUUGACAUCCCUGGCCUCACGUUAGACAGAAAUGGAAAGCAGAAGCAAUCGGAUGCGCAUAAAUCAUCAAGAGUAGCCAGCUUGGAAACUGAAAGGAAUGAUAUAAAAGCAAUCUUACGACACUGCAGGUUAUGUGAACAGAAACCAGCUUAUAGCACCACACGGUCACUUGUAUACAGGCCGGCAAUGCUGUCAUUGGUGGCUGUCGCUGCUGUCUGCGUUUGCGUGGCCUUGCUCUUUAAAAGCAAUCCGGAAGUUGUUUUCGUGUUGGAGCCAUUCCGGUGGGAACACUUGAAGUUUGGUUCAAGCUAAGGUUAUAGUUUACGUGUAUUAAUUUAUAGUGACUCUGGUUAUACAUAGACCAUUUCUUUUCACGUGGAUAGGAGUAUAUUUUCUAUCUGAUUUUUAUAUGUAUAUCUAGGGCCACUCAAGCCAACAAGACUCUUCGCAUUGCAAUGGUCGGAACGUCUAUCGUAUCUGUAUUUGUAUACCUAAGCUUCCAAAAUAAACAUGGGCUGUCAUGGAUUUUGGUCCACCAGGUUUGAUUGUAUUUGUAUUUGUAUAACAGUGUUACAAACUGGAUGACACAUAAUUUCUCUGUUUGAUAUUUCUUUUUUUUUUUUCAAAAUAAACAUUUGGCACGAGGUGAUUCGGUGUUCGAUUAUUAGUGCAUUUACUGUAUAAAUUAAAUUUUAAUUUUAGAAAAUUCAGCAUUUUUGUUGGUUAUAUUGGAGGAAAUCGAACUUUGGUCUACUCUAAUUCUAACUUAUUACCAUACCCUCCUCCAUUAUUUGAGCUCAUAUAAGCAUAAGCACACUAAACAAGGUUAAGUAUAGAAGAAUUUGGGAAUUGAGAAUUAUUGUUUGAGCAUUAUUUCAUGUUUAGUGCAAAUUGAGGUUGAAUUAUUUUCUAAUUUUAUUAGUUUAAUCAUUUGGAUGAAUUUGUUCAUGCUUCCAUAUGAAAUCAUUAUUUUAUUAAAAUAAUUUAUUAAUAGUUCGAGAAAAACUUAAAUGGAGGUGCUCACGUCAUUCAUCACGCAUUCACAUUCACAUUCGUUACACGUUUCUCAUAAAAACAUAAAACUCUUUCAAAUGAAUAGGUUUCACUGAAUUUGGAUAAUAUCCGACUUUACAUAAGUACAAGUAUCAAUGCACAUGAUUCCAACCAGUAAUUAUUAUCUUAUUUGAAUUACUUACCCCGAAUCAGACCUGAAAAAGUGUAAUUUAUUCAAAUUUUAUUUUCUGAAAUUCAAAAAAAUAAAAUAAAAUUUGAGGAUAAGAAAAUAAAGGGUAAAGAGGUCAUUUGCAUGCCCUGCCUCCUAAAAUCCACCUCACUACUCACUACCCCGUCACUGCUCUAACAAUUUUGCAGGCCAAAGCCAUCCAUGGCUUCUUCAAUCUCUCUCUCCUUCUCUUCCUCUCUCCUCCCUCAUCCUCUUCCUUUCAACAAAUACUCCACCGCCACCGCCGCCGCCUCCCAGAAAUCCCAAUACCCCAACUUUAAGCUGCUCCUCCGCGCAUUCGCCAACCCAGCUGUAAGCCGUCGCUCCACUCCAUCUCCGUCUUCCGACACCAGAAAGAGGCACUGGAAGAAAGGUGAAUACCCAGGCGUCUCGGAGACGUCGGCUCCGGCGAAUUACAGAAAAACCCCUGGUCGUUCCACUUCAUCUGAGUCUUCCGACACCAGAAAGAAGCACUGGAAGCGAGGUGAGUUCCCGGGCGUCUCGGAGACGUCGACUCCGGCGAAUCACAGAAAAACCCCUGGUCGUUCCACUUCAUCUGAGUCUUCCGACACCAGAAAGAAGCACUGGAAGCGAGGUGAGUUCCCGGGCGUCUCGGAGACGUCGACUCCGGCGACUUACAGAAAAACCUCCGCUCGUUCCGCUUCAUAUCCGUCUUCCGACAACAGAAAGAAGCACUGGAAGCAAGGGGAGUUCCCGGGGGUCUCGGAGACGUCGAUUCCGGCUAUUUAUAGAAAACCCCCUUUGAAAAAUGUGAAGAAGAAGCUGGACCGGAAGAACAAUGCCAAGGCCUGGGUCAACACCGUCACGGAGGCCCUGUCAGACGCCAUUGACAAGAAGCAGUGGCUCCAAGCUCUUGAGGUUUUUGUCUUAAUCUAAACAAAAAUUAACAAAUUUUUCAUCUUUUUUCUUAUGUGUUUUUAGUUUGGUGAAUGUAAAUUGAUGCAAAAUUUAAAAAAAUGGUAUUUUUAUGCUUACCAAUUUAGUUUCUUGAACCAUGUUCUUGAAAAAUGUGAUCUUUUUAGCUGAAUGAUUUUAGUGGAAUUAUAAUUAAUUGGGUGUUUUUGUUUGGAAAAUGUAUGAUGAAAUUGGGUACUAUUACGUUCAGGUGUUUGACAUGCUUAGGGAACAACCAUUUUAUCAACCGAAAGAAGGGACUUACAUGAAACUCAUUGGUAUGCUUGGAAGGUGCGGCCAACCCAAUCGUGCCCGCCAGCUUUUCGAUACAAUGGUUGAAGAGGGCUGUGAACCAACUCUUGACCUUUACACAGCCUUGCUCGCGGCUUAUUGCCGGAACAAUCUGAUUGACGAGGCAUUUUCUGUUCUUAACCUGAUGAAGACUCUCCCGCAAUGCCAGCCUGACGUUUUUACUUACAGUACCUUGAUAAAGGUUUGCAUUGAUCAUUUGAAGUUUGAUUUAGUUGAGUCCUUGUAUGAGGAAAUGGCUGAGCGGUUGAUAGCUCCGAAUACAGUCACCCAAAACAUAGUGUUGAGUGGAUAUGGUAAGGCCGGGAAGUAUGACCAGAUGGAAAAAGUGUUGUCCGGGAUGCUGGAGGGUACAAGUUGCAAGCCUGAUGUCUGGACAAUGAAUGUUGUCCUUAGUGUGUUUGGAAACAAGGGUCAGAUAGAUAUGAUGGAGAGAUGGUAUGAGAAAUUCCGUGAUUUUGGGAUUGAGCCGGAAACUCGCACUUUGAACAUUCUGAUUGGUGCUUACGGGAAGAAAAGGCUGUAUGAUAAGAUGUCAACUGUGAUGGAGUACAUGCGCAAGCUUCAAUUCCCAUGGACAACCGCAACUUACAACAAUGUGAUAGAGGCUUUCGCGGACGUAGGAGAUGCAAAAAACAUGGAAUACACGUUUGAACAGAUGCGUGCUGAGGGCAUGAAAGCAGACACCAAAACAUUCUGCUGCCUUAUUAAUGGGUAUGCCAAUGCAGGCCUCUUCCAUAAGGUGGUUAGCUGCGUUCAGUUGGCUGGAAAGUUUGAGAUACCUGAGAAUACCACAUUUUACAAUGCGGUGAUAGCUGCAUGUGCAAAGGCAGAGGAUUUAAUGGAGAUGGAAAGAGUUUUCAACCGGAUGAAAGAGAAGCAAUGUCAACCGGAUUCCACAACAUACUCUGUCAUGGUUGAGGCAUAUAGUAAGGAAGGUAUGAACGACAAGAUCUACUACUUGAAGCAGGAGAUUGGUACUGAUGGUAAUCAAAGUGAUCAGAUUAGUGUUGAAGAAAAUCAAAGUGAUCAGAUUAGUGCCGAAGAGAAUCAGAGUGAUCAGAUUAGUGUGGAAGACAAUCAGAGUGAUCAGAUUAGUGAUGAAGGCAAUCAAAGUGAUCAGAGUAGUUUUGAAGAUAAUCAAAGUGAUCAGGCUUUUGGAGCUGAGUCUGGCGGUGUUGUCUAGUUGAGAUCUUUGGAGGCAACAGUAUGCUCCAAAAAUCCCUAAUCUCACAGGGCAAUUCCAUUCCCCGCAGUUCUUCUAAGGCAGCAGCAAACUCUUAUUGUGAAAUUGCCGAUCGAUCAGGUAAUCAAACAUUUCCAUUCUCGGAUGGGUGUUAGCAAUGCUGCUUCCUCCAAUUUUAUGUUUCUGGUGAAGGACUGUAUGGAUUGAUCUGAUAGACUGAUAACCCGGGUGAAACUUUAUGGAAAAUGAUUGUACAUACAGAGUUGAUAAGUGUCUCUCUCCAAACUUGAUGCGAUCUCUAAACUAGCAUGCAAAAUUGUACGACGAUUUGUAAGAGUGUUUAACUGUGUUCAACAGAGGAAUUGCUUUUUGUUAUUGCCUGAAAUGUUUUGAAUGUAACUUCACGUAUAUAUUGUCUGCAGCAGCUGCUGGACAAUCAUAGAAGGUGGUCUGUAAACACGUUGUUUUUGAAAAUUAAUCGCUCUUUUCGGUACAUUUUGUGCUGCUGUUGUUCGAAUGUUUUGGCACUUGAGGCAGACAAUUGAUCUGCAAUUAUCCCAAAAUGUAAGGGUCCAGCUCAACAAAACGCAGGGGUAAUUUGAUCAAAGAUGUAAGUUUUGUUAUAUUGACUUUUGAGUAGCAUUGGUAGUGUAAUAAACAAUAUCAGUAACGUUGAAUAAUAAUAAAUUUUACUUGGAUGCCGGCGUGUGUAGUAAGAAUAUGUCCAAAGUGGUUUGGACAACGACAUGAUGGUGCGUUAACUAAUAUGAUCUUAUCACGUGAUGAGAGAUAAAGGAGAGAUGAAUGUAUUCGUGACCUGGAGGUUAUUCUACACGUAAACUUGUAAAGAUAGGCAAACAGGGUGCUUUUUGGUUGAAACGAAAUGCUGAAUUGUUUACUCUUUCUUGUGUAAGAAGAGAAGACUUGUAUCGUAAUCAGGUACUAAUUGUUGUCUUUUGGUCCCACCUUACCUCACACUAUAAAUAAUGGCAUCUAAACCCGAUUAUUCACAGAGAAGCUUUCACAAAAGCAUAAAACUCUUAUAUUUUGGUUUCACUCGCCUCAAACUAGUCUCCCUCGUUGAAAUAGCUAACCUAGUUAGGAACUGUACACAAGUUUCUCUCGUAUCGAAGAAAGUCAAAGAAGUUUUUAGCUCACAAAAGCACAUAACCCCCUAUAUAUUCCAUUUGAAUCACCAUUUACAAAAUUUGUACUAACUUUCCAGUCGAAGAUAGGAUAGUUUCGACAAGUAUUGAACGGCUAAGAUAACUUUAUUUAUUACAUGAAUGGCUAAGAUUAAAAACAAGGGCACGUAGACGAAUACAAACAUCUUCAAUGAGAGGAUCCACCAUUUCUACCAUUGGAAAUUUAAUUUCCUUACAGAAUAGGCGAAAAGUGAAGCGAAAACAAUCGGGAAAGCAAUGAGAACAAUCGCCACGAGGAAUAAACGAUCGUGAUGGAAGCCAUAGUAGUCUUGAAGGAAGGAAGCAACUGUUUUCUGCUCCCCAAAAAUCAAAAUCUCUUUGUUCAUGUCUCCAUAUUGUGAACUGAGGAGGGCAUUUAGGGACCAUGAUGUAGGACAAAUCCAAUAGAACCAAAUCCACCACUUGGGAAUUUUCUGCAUAAAAUAUAUAGAACAUGGUCCGCUAGGCUCACAGUAAACCGUCAUAUUAAGGGUUUAUUUGGCACUGCUUCUUUAGAAAGAACUUUUGCUUAUAAAUUAUAAGCGCUUUUUCUGUAAGUUGUUUAAUAGAGUUAUGUUGCAAAAAAAGCAGUUGGGAGGGCUUCGCAUACUAAAAGCUCUUAAAGUUUUACUACAUAGUCUUUUGGCUUUUCUAGAAGCAGUCUCAAACAGGGCUAAAGACUAAAGAGAGAGUUAGAUUUAGUUACCGGCCCGAGCACAAGGAAGCCGGAAAAAAGAUUCAAUAUGGUGUAGAUUGCCGUUGCGAAAAUGGAAGCUACUUGCAGGCUUGUGCUAAAAGAAGCUAUCAGCAUCCCAAGGUAUACAAAUUAGAGAAAUGUAGAGAAUGUUGCAUGGAAGUACCAGAAAACCUUAGUAGCUGACCAAUAGUACCCUAUUGUAGGGUAUGUAAUAAUGACAUACAGAAUUGCUUGAACCACUUUGUAAGUUAUUUCAAUGGCCACCUACAACAACAUUCAAAAUUUCGACAUGUUAAAAACCUUUCCACUACAAGCUACGUUAUAGUACCAGUUAAAAUGUACGAACCUGUGCAAACGAAUGAGCGUUUGAUGAGUACAUCCCAGCAAAUCUUUCCCGGUACAGAACUGCGCGCUCAGUAGCCACGUAAGGCAGAACCGUCGAGCAAUUGGUUGUGCCCAAAAAUAUUACAGCAAUGUACAGUAACCCAAGCACGUUGAACAAAUCAUGCUCAUUGUUUCUUGAGGAACAAGAAAAACACAGGAUUUAGCGUUGUUGAGCAAAAAUUGUACAUAAUAUGUAAACAAAUAAUUCUCUCGACAUAAUUUCACCCUCGUUCAUUUUUCGAAGAGGGUUUUAUUAGUUUGAGUUUGAUUCAUUCUAGGUUACGCGCCUAUUAAUUACAACCUUUCUUUUGGGAAAGGAAUACCCUUUGAUUCUAAUAUGAAUAAAUCGUAAUUUGAGGAUUUGGGUGUUUAUUUGAUUUUGUGACUGUAUCUAGGUAGAGCCCUAGAUUGCCUACGUACCCUCGUUGAGGGAUCAAAUCACUCGUAGUUCCUUAUGUGUUUUGUUGGGGUUUGACGCCUUGUGCAGUUUCAGCUCAUGCAGAUGAGGAUUUUAAGCCGUUGGAGCUUUAAUAAAUUUGAUAUGGUUUUAUGCCAUUCUGAAAUUUGAUACGGCUUCGUGCCAGUUAACAUAGCUUCGUGCCACUUGAGAUUUUGUUGCGGCUUCAUGCCAUUUGAUAUUUGACUUUUUCUUCGGCUUUACGGCUUCGUGCCAUUGAAUUGGCUUUGAGCCAUUUGAGGCAGCUUUGUCCCAUUUAAAGUGGUUUUAUGCCGCUUAAACGUUGAGUAAAAUUAACAGGUUUAUUUCUGAUAAACCCACUAAUAUUUUGGCAUUUGACUCUGGCUUGGUACCAUUUCUUACUCCAUGUUUAAUUUUACUUUUCCUUUUUCGUUUGCCCUUUCUUCUGACAAAUUUGUAGAGAAUCAUGCUUGGAAUAAAAAAAAAAUUUCCUCUGUUCCUUCAUGGGAUUUACUCCACAAGGGUUUUGUUCAAAGCAGCAGAAGUGAAUUUAGUUUAUACAAACCAGGGAUUCAUCUUGAUUUCUUGGUUGCGUCUAAAAUUUGAUAUCAGACUGCCUACGUAUCCUUAACGGAAUCAAACCGGCGUAGUUCGUAACUUUUGAGACUCAUCGCGGCUUUGUGCCAUUUGAUACUUGAUAUGGAUUCGUGCCAUUUGAAGUUUGACGGAGCCUUGUGGCAUUUGUGUCUUGUAAAUAUUUGUGAUGAACCCACUUUUACAUUGGUAUUUGACUUUGUCUUCCUUUUCAUUUAUUUUGUCUUGGAACCCAUUUUAUUUUGCCUACAAGCCCGUCACUCUAUUGUUGCCCUUUAUUUUUUUGCAUGGUAGCACAAAAAAAAUCCUUGCUUUCAUAUGGAAAAUAUAAAAGCAAGAGUCAAAGCUCCUUUAUUUUUACCAAUGCCUUUUUCAAGCUUUUAAGUCCCUUGCUUUUCUUCUUUCUUUAUUUUUCUUUUGUCAUUGCCGUAUGUCUCCCUAAGAACAACUCCACUUUUGGAGCCCUUUCUCCAUGCAAUCCACUAUUCAAUCCACCAUGUAAACAGUAAUUACCCUUAAUAAACAGUAACUACUUUUGUAUCUCAACCCUUGCACUUGAAUACCCUUGGCAAUAGGCAAUAAAAUAUUAAUUUUUAUAAUUAAUAUUAUAUUAUUUAAUUUGUACAAAUUAAUAUUAUAUUAUUAAUUUAUCUUUUCCAAUCUCUUCCCGAAACUUCUACCAUUUUUGUUUUCUUCUUCCUUCCCACUCUCUCACUCCCCUCUCCCUCAUUGUCUUCUUUUUUUUCUCCGGCCGACAGUCUACCUCCCCUCUCUCUUUUUCUCCCCCAUUUCUCCCUGUUUUCUUCCUCAAACGAGGAAGCUGCGAAUUUUGAGAGAGAGCAGCACCGAACCCACCCGCCUCCCGCCAUGUCUAAAUCCACUGAUGUGUCUUUCUUCCUCCUCAUGGUCCUCUGCGGCCAGGCCCAAAGAGGCCGCCUGCUUCUUUCCGACUUCAACCAAUCAACGUCAUCCGAUCUGAUCUCCGAUAGAGUCCACCACCACCACCGGUCCCACACCCUGGCUCCCUACCUCACUCUCGAGAACGCCCUUUCGGCGGAAGACUCCACCUGCAAGCAGACCUACGUUUUCCUGCCUUGCACCACCACUGUGAUCGACAACCUUUCCUAAUUCCUGACAGAAAAAAAUUAAAAAAAAGGACUGACGCCAGCCUGACGUCAGCCCCUACUCGGGCUGGCAAUUCCUCAUAGACCCUUUGCUCGGGCCUUGGCUGCUGCUUGGGCUUGCUCACGCUGGAGCUGGUCGACAGGGCCUUGGGCUCUUUCUUCUCCCCCCGUCCCUCGAGCAGGAGCUUCCGCUAAAGCUGCUCUAAUGGUUCGAAGAUGAUGGAAUCCAAUUUGAAAUGGCACAAGUUAAAUUUCCAUAAAGAACUCCCAUAACUUUAUUGACCCCUACGUGAGCAACUUUCCAUGUGAGGUGCUGAUUUCAGUUAGCAUUCUUCUUUGAUCUUUUCAAACCCAUUUAAACAUGGGACUUCGAACCUAUCUGACCUAAACUUCUGACCAAUCUGAGAGCAAGCCUUACUCUUUUCUUUGUUUGACUUCAAAGGUCUCCAAAUUCCAAUAAGACUUUAUCCCAUACUUUAAAUGGGGGAACCAUGACUUUCUUUUGUCUUCCACGACUUUCUUUUGUCCUCCACGUGAGUGGUUUUCUUGCUAUGAAGUAAAAGAAGACCACAUCAACAUUUUUUUAACUUUACUUUUGAUUUGACAAAAGCUUUUUGGUCUGGAACUCUUCUUCUCUCCUUAUGAGUUUUAAACAUUUUUUUUUCUUUGUCUUCAACCUUGAAUUUAGCUUUGCCCAACAUUUGACAAUAACUUACUUCAUCUUUGAGGUGCCACGUAUUUAGCCUUUUUUAAAAAAAACAAGCACUUUCUUUUGAGUUUUCUGUUUCCUGCAUGGAUUUGUCUUCACAGGGGUAAAACUAGUCUUCGACUAAAAUCACGAAUCAUCUUUUGCUUGUUGGAGAUUUUUUCUUCAAUUCCUAAUUUAAACAGGAAUUUGAAUGAAACUUGGUCAGUGGCAACUAGCGCCUAUUCUUCUUUGGCUGGGCUUUCUUUGGGUUUCUGUCUCAAUGAAGAACGCCAAAAGUUUUUGAAGAAGACCAUGGCCCGUCGACCGACAGAAGCUUCGGGACCAUAGCUGGGCAUGUUGGGUUCUUGUUCUCCACUUGUUCAAAUGUGCAGAGUGACGGCUUAUUCUCCGUUGCAUCUCUGAAAAGAGGAAGGGAGAUGUCGAAAACUUCUUUAGACACCCAAGAGGCUACAGGAGGUUGUGGGAAGACGAUUUGCUGCUGUGUUUUGAUGAAAUCUCCGUUGGACAUCACAAGUUGCAGGGUGUCGAUGAUGUUGAAGACAUGGCGCAGCUGCUGUCUCUGUUUGGGCUUCCGUCUAACGUCGGCGGUUUAUUGCAAUGUUGCCUUCAUUAGCUAUUUCACACCGCUGCCAUCUUCUUGCUCAAACCUUCGUCAAAUUUGUUGAUGGUCUGGACUGGCGUGCCCAACUACGUCACCUGGUUUCAUCACCUUCGGAUCACGAACUGCACUGCCCUUGGGCUUCUUCCGGAGGACUGACAGAGACGACGGUUGAAAAAUGGUGGUGUUGCCGUAGUGCAGUGAUCACCUAGACCUGGUUGGAACUUCACGGGGUGGUUUAGACCACCCCGAAGAAAUUCAUGGGACUGGGGAUGGGAGAGAAACAAAUUGUUUUUUUUUCUUCUUGCAAAGCCGAGAGAAAGCAUACAAAGAAAGAUUUAGAAGGAUAGAUUUAUACCUUUAAAUGCUUUGUAGCAUUUCCUGCUCUUUGUUCUUGCGGGUAGCACUUGAUAUCUUCUUCUUUUUUCUUCUUUUGUUUCUCUUUUGCCUUUGCUCUCUUGCUUUGCCUCUCAUUCUCUGUUGUCUUCAUUGCGCUUUUCUGUCUCUCAAUUUUUGCAGAGUACCCUUGUCUUUUUUUUUUUUUUUUCUCUUGCUGUAGUUGAUGCCUAUUUAUAGGCAUCCCAAGUAAAGGAUGAUACAUUCCUGAUCUCUUGGGAUUGUUUCCUGUUUCAUCAUGAUUUCCAGAUUUCCCUGUUUUAUUAAAACAUUCCCCUUAUGUAUUCUUUGUAGAUUAAUUAUACUUGUAAAUCAAGUCAUUGUACACUAUUUAAAUCAAUGAUAAUGCACCCUCUAGGGCAUCGAGGGAUUGAGCCAAAAUACCUUCUUUUGAGUUAUCUUUUAUGGUACUCAGAGCCAGUGACUAACGUCUUUUUUUUCUUUUCGGAUUCUUCCUACUCUUCUCCAUGGCUGCCUCAACCAGUUCGACUACUCCUUCCUCCGACAUCUUCCCUUCUGUUUCUCAUGCGAUCUCCAUCAAACUUGACUCUUCCAAUUAUCCUCUUUGGUUGGCUCAGUUGCUACCUGUUCUUCGCAGUCGUCAAUUGUUGGCUUUUGUUGAUGGUACUUCCAUCUGCCCCUCGGCGUUCUUGUCCGACGAUACCGGCAACGCCUCUUCCAAACCCAACCUCGCGUAUGCUGACUGGGUUCAGAAGGACCAGCUUGUUCUUUCUUGGAUCAAUGGCUCUCUUGGUCACCAGGCCCUCGCCGCCACUGCUCGUCAUUCCACUGCCCGUGAUGUUUGGGUUGCUCUUCAGCAGCGUUUUGCUUCUACAAACCAAAGUCGCAUUCUUCAGCUUCGUACUGCUUUCUUCCAGACCAAACGAGGUGAUUCUUCAAUUUCUGACUUUCUUGAUAAGAUCAAUGGUAUUGCCGAUCAAUUGGCCCUUGCCGGGGCACCUGUUUCUGCUGAUGACAUGGUGCCGGUCGUCAUGUCUAAUGUCGGCCCCAAAUUUGAGAACACUGUUGCUGCUGCUCAGGCCCGUGACAACCCCAUCUCCCUUUCUGAUCUUGAGGCUCUUCUUCUCGUUGCUGAACUCCGCCUUGCUGAUCCUCCUGCUCCGCCGGACUCCAGCGUCUCGGCCCUGGUAGCCUCCCGCGGCUCUUCUGCCUUUCAUGGCCGCUCCUCUUCUGAUCGCGGCGGCGAUCGUGGCUCUGGCCGUUUCUCACGUGGGGGUGGUCGUCCUCAACAUGAUGGGUCUCGCAACAAUGGUGGUGACGGCUAUCGUGGCUAUCGCGGUGCUGGUGGUUUCCAUGAUCGUCCGUUUCGCGAUCGUGGUGGUGGUCGUCCUCAGCACGAUGGCUCUCGCUUCCGUGGCUCCAACAAUGCUUCUGGGGUUCUUGGUCCAGCCCCAUAUCACGGUUCCUCCCGUCCUCGCUGCCAUAUUUGCAAUACUUUUGGUCAUGGUGCUCUUGACUGUGCUCAACGUCUUAAUUUGGCUUAUGAAGGUCGUCCUCCUUCUUCCCGUCUCACUGCCUUGACUGCUCAGCACUCCCAGCCUUGGCUCAUUGAUUCCGGGGCAAACUCGCAUAUCACCAAUGAUCUCAAUACUUUGUCUCAGUCCCGUGAUUAUCGUGGUGGUGAUUCCGUCGGUGGUGUCGUUGGCGGUACAGGUUUGCCCAUUAACCGUAUUGGCUCCUCCACUCUCUCUCAUAAUAAUAUUUCUUUCAAGCUUAAUGAUGUUCUUCAUUGUCCGGAUGCUUCUACUUCUGUGUUGUCUGCUAAUCGGUUUAUGUUGGAUAAUAAUUGUUAUAUUACAUUGUUUCCUUCUUGUUUCUAUAUUCAGGAUAUGGAGACGGGGACGAUUCUUUUUUCGGGCAAGAGUAGCAAUGGCUUUUAUCCCUUUUCCUCUUCAUCACCGACUGCUCAUGGUCGUGCUGCUUUUCUUGGUGUUCGUGUUGGUAGUGAUGUCUGGCACUCUCGUUUAGGCCAUCCAUCUUCUUCCAUUUUAAAAUUUCUUUUUUCUAGGCAUUCGAAUAAGUUGCCUGUUUCUGGCAACCUCAAUCUCAAUACUUUUAUGUGUCAUUCUUGUCCUUUAGGCAAAAGUGUUAAGUUACCUUUUUCUGCAUCAUUGUUUGUUACUCAAGCUCCUCUUGAGCUUAUUCACUCCGACGUGUGGAGUGCGUCCAAUAAAUCUGUUAGUGGUUUCCAAUAUUAUGUUCUUUUUGUUGAUAAUUUCUCUCGUUAUUCUUGGAUUUAUCCCAUGAAAUUGAAAUCUGAAGUCUUUAAUAUUUUUACUCACUUUAAGACCUUGGUUGAAAAUCAAUUCUCCACUAAAAUUAAGAUGUUUCAGUCCGAUGGUGGGGGCGAAUACACUAGUCACCAAUUCAAGAAUUUUUUUCUUCACCAUGGUAUUCAUCAUCGUCUCUCAUGCCCUCACCAUCCCGAACAAAAUGGUUUGGCGGAACGCAAACAUCGUCACAUUGUCGACACUGGACUUACUUUAAUGGCCCAUGCGUCGAUGCCUCCUGCCUAUUGGGCUAAGGCCAUGCACACAGCAGUUUAUCUUCUCAAUCGCCUCCCCUCUAAAGUACUUGGUUUUAUGUCUCCUUAUCAAAAGUUGUUUCUUAAGGAACCUGAUUAUAGUUUUUUAAAGACCUUUGGGUGUGCAUGUUUUCCCCACCUACGACCCUAUAAUAAUAAUAAACUCCAGUUUCGUUCUACUAAAUGUGUUUUUCUUGGUUACUCUCUCAAUCAUCAAGGUUCUCGGUGCUUAGACAUCUCUACUAACCGCAUCUUUUUAUCACGCCAUAUUGUGUUUGAUGAAGGUAAUUUUCCUUUCAAGGCCAUCUCUGGCUCUCUUGCCCCAUCCUCCCCGGCCUCGUCUCCUCCUCCUGUUUUAGAAAUCACUGGGCCUCUUCCGCAUGCCCCCCGACCGUCUAGCAGCCAACCGGUGGUUGUGUCCCCCUCUUUGGAGACUCAUCAAUCCAGUCCAUCAUCCGACCCACCACAGCCGGCCCUACAGGUUUACUCCCGUGACCCUCACAGGCGGGUUCUUUCUUUUGCACAAGCAGCAACCCCAUCUGUCACUCCCAGGCCCACGCCUGCUGUUGCCUCUGCAGUUCAACCUGAUGCGCCUCCCGAGGCUCCAUCUGCUGCUGUACCACCUGCCGUGCCCUCUACUUCCCAUGGUAUGCUCACUAGGUCCAAAACGGCUUCUCUUAAGCCUCAUAAAUAUGUUUUUUCUGCUGCCAUUUCUUCUUCUACCGGUCCUAUUGAGCCUACUUGUUUUAGUCAGGCCAACACUUUUCCCGAAUGGCGUACUGCGAUGGCCGAUGAAUUUAAUGCACUUCAACGUGCUGGUACUUGGACUCUUGUUCCUCGUACCGCUUCUAUGAAUAUUUUGCCAAACAAAUGGGUGUUUCGUAUUAAACAGAAUUAUGAUGGGUCUAUUCAGCGGUAUAAGGCUCGUUUGGUAGCCAAUGGUUUUCAUCAGCAACCCGGCCUUGAUUAUGGUGAAACUUUUAGUCCUGUUGUCAAUCACUCUACUAUUCGCUUAAUUUUGGCUCUUUCAGUUCAGUUUCAAUGGCCUGUUCGUCAGUUGGAUGUUCAGAAUGCUUUUCUUCAUGGCUCUUUGUCUGAGGAGGUCUAUAUGCACCAACCUCGUGGCUUUGUUGAUCCACAGUUCCCUCAUCAUGUGUGCCGCCUUCGUCGUUCUUUAUAUGGGCUCAAGCAGGCGCCCCGUGCAUGGUUCCAAUGUUUUUCCACUCAUUUGGAAGAUUUGGGUUUUCGUCCCUCUACUGCGGAUCACUCGCUUUUUACCUAUAUUCAUGGCUCUACUCGCAUUUAUCUCUUAAUUUAUGUUGAUGAUAUUUUGGUCACCGGGAAUAAUCCCUCAUAUUGUCACCCUCAUUAAGAAUUUGGGCAUCCGUUUCUCUAUGAAGGACCUUGGACCGGUUCAUUAUUUCUUAGGCAUGGAGGUGGUCCGCACUCCAUCAGGUCUCUCUCUUUCCUAACAAAAGUAUGCCACUGACCUACUUCACCGCACCAAAAUGCAUGGUGCUAAGCCGGUUCCUACUCCUGCCGUUAGUGGGCGACGGCUCAGUCUUCAGGAUGGUGACCCUCUGCCGGAUCCUAUUGAAUACCGAAGUGUUGUCGGCGCCCUUCAAUACUUGACUCUCACUCGUCCCGACAUCAACUUCGCCGUCAACCAAGUCUGCCAAUUUCUUCACCAGCCGACUUCUACUCAUUGGGCCGCCGUCAAACGCAUUCUUCGUUACCUUGUCGGCACUACUUCUCACGGUCUUACCUACAAGCCUGGUUCCUUUCGUCUUACAGCAUUUUCCGAUGCCGAUUAUGCCGGGAUCCUGAUGAUCGGCGUUCCACCGGGGGCUAUUGCUUGUAUCUGGGUUCCAAUCUUGUCUCAUGGAGUGCCAAGAAACAAAAUGGGGUCUCUCGGUCCAGCACUGAAGCCGAGUAUCGUCAACUUGCAAUCACCGCUGCCACUCUUUCAUGGUUUCGUAUGCUGUUCCGUGACCUCCAGUUUCCUCUACAUUGUCCUACACUGUUUUGUGACAAUAUCAGUGCUAUAUCCCUUGCUUCCAACCCGGUGUUUCAUGCCCGCACUCGGCAUGUUGAGGUGGAUUACCAUUAUGUUCGUGAAAAGGUUGUUCGCAAGGAGAUUGAUGUUCGUUAUCUUUCUACUCAUGAUCAGAUUGCUGACUUCUUCACCAAGGGCCUUUCUCUUCCUCGUUUUCGACUUCUGGUUUCCAAGCUUCCUGUACUUGAUUGUACUGUCAGCUUGCGGGGGCGUAAAGGAUGAUACAUUCCUGAUCUCUUGGGAUUGUUUCCUGUUUCAUCAUGAUUUCCAGAUUUCCCUGUUUUAUUAAAACAUUCCCUUUAUGUAUUCUUUGUAGAUUAAUUAUACUUGUAAAUCAAGUCAUUGUACACUAUUUAAAUCAAUGAUAAUGCACCCUCUAGGGCAUCGAGGGAUUGAGCCAAAAUACCUUCUUUUGAGUUAUCUUUUCCCAAGAAGGCUCUAGAAUUUGUUACGUGGGGGAAGAUGGAGACCAUGACCUCCUGCCACUUUCUGUUAACCCCCUUUUCUGACUCCACGUUUCUUUUUGUUGCAGAAAAUGGGGGAGCACCUGUUUUUUGCACGUUACUUCCCCCCUUAUGUAGGAAAAAAAUUAUAAAUUUUUUAUUUAUUCCUGAAUGUAUUUGUAUGUAAAGCUCAUCCUCAUCUUUUGGGUUGGAUUACAUUUUUGUUUUACCUUGAAGUUUGACUCAAUUUGAAUGGACUUUAUUUUUUCAUAUUUUUUUUGUUCAACAAGCGUAGUUUUCUUUUUCUUUUUCUCUGUGAAAUAUAUAGUAUGAAGAGGGUGGAAAUGGGUCGGGGCUUACAUUUCCUUCACUUUCUGCCAAAAGAUUGUUCCGAACCACACUGAUAGAGCGAAAAUAAACGCGAAACGUGCUAGAUUGUACUUUGGACUUCUCCAGUGGGACAAGUGUUGUUUCCACAGACAUGCCUUAAACUGCACCCAGCUAUUUUGAGCAAAAGGAGUGGGAAGGUUCAAGCCCCUUGAACCCGGCUUUGGUUCGCUCAACCGGCUAACCAACUCGACCGUGUCUCUCUGAAAAAGAAGGAAACAAACAUAUAAAUUUGAUGAUUGAAAUAAAUACAUGAUUAAUCCUAAAAUAAUGGAAAUAUUAGAGAUAUGCCCUUACCUAUACUGAGUAGAGGGUUUAUAAAUUUCAGCAAAAUCUAAACAAAGUUUUGCCUCUACUGAGGCAGAAGUAACUUCUAACAUCCAAGUUGCUGGAUUGUAAUUUUCUUUGAUCUUUGGUACAUCACGAAUAUCCUCAAAAUAUUUGACGAGUUUACUCGAGUGAUGACCGAGAACUCCAGAAUAGAUGAUUUGGCCUCCCCUUUUCAUCAAAAGUAACUGCAAAAAUCAAUGUCUUCCGUUAGUGAUCGAGUGGCUUUUAUGAUUUGGUUUAGUUUUCUUGGACUCCAUGACAAUGCUCGUUAUACUACCUCGUCAAAUGACUGAAAAAUAUCAAUGCUUGGCUUGUGGAUUGUGCAAACAGUUGUCCUUCCUGUGGAAACAACAUUCUUUACUACGCAAAUGGCAAUUGCAGCUGCUCUGGCGUCUAAGCCUGACGUAGGUUCAUCCAUAAAUAUUAUUGAUGGGUUGGAUACAAGCUCCACUGCAAUUGUUAGCCUUUUGCGCUGUUCAGUAGAUAGGCCAGUUUGUCCAGGAAUGCCAACUAAGGAAUCUCUUAUAUCCUCCAGUUCAAUCGUUUGAAUGACUUCCUCCACAAAUUUCUGCAUAGAUUAAGCAAAGGAUACUUUCUUUUAUAUGUUCCAGGAAAUUUGCAUAUUAUUGAUAAAUUGAAAGAAUAUCAUCCUACAGCUUUUAUGUCUGGAUCAGUUUCGUGUGGCAACCUCAACCAAGCUGAGAACAUAAGCGAUUCUUCUACCGUGAUCUGUGGAGAAUGUAUAUCAGUCUGCUCGCAGUAUCCUGAUAUUCUUGCAAAUGUCUUCUGGACCUUGGGGUACCCUCCGAUUCUUAUAUCUCCCACGAUACUACCUCCUGUUUCCCUUCCAGAAAGAACAUCCAUGAGAGUUGUUUUUCCAGCCCCAUGCGGUAGGAAUUCCUGGACUGAAUGCUCCUGUUAUAUCUUUAAGCAACUGAAGCUUUUUCUCCUUGAAAGCAUGCUGUCUCAUUUCCUUUUUUAAGAAGGAAUGAAGUUAAAAUACAACUAAAUAGUUUUCCAAUGAUACUAAUAUGUGAAAAUUGACUAAUGAUUUGAUUAAUUACCGGAGGUGUAUCAACAUAAUACUGCACGUCCUUAAAUGAGAUUGUCAGUGGCUCGAACGGCAGGACCAUUCUCCCUGUUUAACAAAUUGAUUUACUCUCGAAUAAUUCAGUUGUUAAAAAAAUUCCUUGCUCGUUGCUUUGAAUGGAAAAUGUGAAACUGAUAACCCGGAUAAACUGGAUGCAACAAUUCAUCUCACCUAGUGUUAUCUUUUCUCCCAUGGUUUUGAAUAAAUCGGAUAGAGUUGAUUCAUUUUCCAACGGUGCACCAGUUUGGGUUAAUAUUUAACAUUGGGCUUAUAGGAGAGAAAGCCCAAAAGAGUUCAAUAAGAAGAGUUUCGUCCGAAGCCCAGCACCAAGCCCAGACCGUCCAUCUCAAGACCAAUUGGCACUCUCCUAUUAAUGCAAAGGCUAAGUGCUUACAAGAGAAGUGACAACUGAUGAAAAUCAACCUACUCUCAGCCCAAAAGUACUUUUCAGUGGCAAUACAAGUAAAAUAUUGAUGAGUCACUACCAUUCAAUUGCUUUUGGGUAAGAACAAAGCUACAAGCGGUCGGACUAAUUCGUUUAUAAAAGGAGGAAGAGGGCUCAGAGACAAGGACACUCAAUCAAUCAAACAUACAACUUGUCUCUCAUCCAAGCAAAUACCCAGAAAGCUGUGCUUUGUCCAGACUCUGCACCCUUUUAGCCUUAGAUUUCCUUAGAAAGACAUCUUUUUUCUAUGUAAAAGCUCUGCUACAUUUUUCUAAAUGUUGUAGUAUCGAUCCCUCGUGUAUAAACUCGUUUCCAGUCAUCUCCUUUAGUACUCAAUUCUUUUGUAAACUGCAAAGAGAAGAGAUCGCAAGGCGUUUAACCUUGCUUGACAAAGUGAAAUCUUGCCCAACUCUCUUUGUUUUUAUCUUUCAAUUAACAAAUAUGGUGUUAUAAUGUAUUCCGUAGUUUAUAUUCAAGUUAUUUCCAGUCCUUUGAUGACCCAAAGCCCCAUCAGUUCUCAGAUCUGGUUCACUUAGUGGUUUUAUCAAGAAUUGAAAUGAAUUAAACUGAUGACUUGAUCAGAUCUAAGCCUUCACCCCUCAAGCAUACAAAAUAACUAAAAGUCUUUGAUCUCAAGGCAUAGAAAAUAACUUAAUGUAGACUUAAUCCAUCUACAACAAUCCUUUGAUAAACAAGAAGUCAGAAAUAACUUGGGGUGCAAGUAAUCGGCUUAAAACACACUUGUUCUACAUCUGCCAUACAGAGAUGGCAGUGGCACGCCUAAGCACCUAGUUAGUUUUGAAUGCGAGCCUCAAGGCCUAUACCUAAGGCCCCACAAAGGCACCUUUCAGAACUAACUUUGUUUUCCUCUUGCAGUAUUGUGACAAGCAGGAGCCCAACAAUCAACCAAAGUGCCAACUCCUCGGGCAGCUGUGUGCUCGAGCCAGGAACGCCCACCAACCAGAUUUCCUGCCCAAAAAGCACCAGUUUUGCGAGCUCCCCUUCUUCAAAGUUGAGAUAAUCUUUUUUUCGAAACAAUAGCCCGAUACACCUUUGGAGCUGUAUGAGGAAAAGCUUAAGUAAACUGAUGUGGAGCUGUAUGAGGAAAAGCUUAAGUAAACUGAUGAAGUGGAUUGUAAUACUUAAGUUAUCAUCUGUCAAUUAAAAUGAAUCUAAGUAAGUUAAUGCUAAAAUAAAUCCAAGAUCAGACAGCAUUGUGAACCCGAGUAAUGCUCCUACUGAUAUCCAAUAGAAAUAGCCAUCAAAGUUCAAACCAUGCCUGGUUAGAACUUUAUUCCCUAGGGUUGUGUUUCCCUCUGAGACCUAAAGAAAUGAAUUAACACUGUCAAAACACUUAUUCGACUUCGAUGAUCGGGUACUAAAAAAGUUUAUCAUCUUGAGUUGUACCUUUUGCCAGCGAGGAGCGAGGAACUCGUUUAGAGUUGUACCGAUUUCCCCAUAAGUCAUAGGUGAACACCAGAAUAGUCAACGCAACCAAGGAGGUAAAGAGGCUGCAAAACACCCCUUAUUAGUCUAGUUGUAGUUGAAUGUAACUAAAGGAAAAAUACGAUAAAUGGACUUACAUCGUGGCAAGAUGAAGCCUCCGGAUAAAAACAUUAGCACUAGGAUUAAAAUACCGCAAGUUGAUGCAACAACCAUAGUUUGGAAAACUACAGCAAUUAAACGACAUAUGGAUGUCGAUGCUUGAUGGAGAGCAAAUAGCACAAGGAACUGGAAGAAGAACCUAAAAACCAUAGCAUAUUCUUGAGGCAUUAUUAUGAUUAUUGUUCAAGCCUUUCAUGUUCUGUCGUGUGACUAUAAAGUUGAGAUCUUACGUUUUUAUGUCUGGAGCGUACCCAAUCAAAUGGUAAGUUAUUGCUGUCCACAGCAGUGAAUCAAUCACUGAAAAUGGAACCUUCAGGAUAGACUGGAAGAGAAUACGCCCAUGCUGGAUACAGAUUGAAUCCUCUUUGCUUGUAAACCACUGGUAAUCUAGUAACAGUCACAGCUCUGCAAUUCCGUUGGUCAUAAGUCGAAUAAGUGUAUAAAACAAUGAGUUCAUAAAAAAACUUGCAUUUAUCAAAUCCACGGUCCUACGGGUGCUUAUACAGAUUGCCAUUGUAAUAAAUGCAGUGAUGACAAGCUGUGGGAAAAAAAGAGAGAAAAUAUAGUAAGUGAUUUUGAGUUUAACUUCAGAAGUACAACCCCUAAAAGUGAUAUCAUUAGGCAGUAAACCUGAGCUGUUUUGAAUACGUAGAGAAAGGAAUUCCGUUUCAUGAGAAGAAGCUCUCGGGCCAUACAACCUUUGAACAACUCCCAUUUGCUCACAGAGUAAGUACUAAAUGAUAAGGCAUUAUCAUGGCACUGUGAUUUAUUGUAUGGUUUUGAGAGCUCAUCGUCUAAUUUCUUCCCCGAGUAACUUGCUCUGAAAAGUUCAAAAAAUUUGUUUGCAGAAACAUGACCGUAGGGAAUGUUAUCAUGCUUCCAGUAUUGUGCUUGAUCCUUCUUUGAGAUCACCUCUUGAAGGAAAUCUGCAGCACCCUUUCUUGGUGGGCACUUGAAACCAGAGUCUUCGAAAAACUCAACUGCGUGGCUGCGAUGACCGUGGUAAACUAUCUUCCCCUCUGCCAUUAGUAUUACAUCAUAAAAAAUAUCAAUGGUCUCGGGUGCUGGUUGGAGAAGUGAUACCAAUGCAGUUGUAUCUGUGAUAUGCACCAGCUGCUGAAGAUAGGUAACUAUCUGAAAGGUUGUAGAACUGUCUAAUCCCGUUGAUAUCUCAUCCAUAAAAAGAGCUUUUGUAGGACCUACAAUCAUUUCUCCUGAAGAUUAAACAGAAGAGGAAUGUUAUGUUUGAAACAUUUUUCUACAUGGGAAUUAGUAAUUACAUUCAAAUUUCCCUCGGAUUCAAGAUUUCACUACCGGUUGUCAGCCUUUUCUUCUGGCCACCAGAAAUGCCUCUUCUUAAUGCAUCACCAACCAUUGUGUCACUCACUACACAUACCCAGUCCAAGUAUCUAAAGAGAUUCCAAAAUAUCGUAAUUCAUUUUUCCUGUCCGAGUGAGUUAGAAAUGUCACGUUUGAACUACUUAAUGUCAGCAUUGUCCAUGUCCAACACUGGUUGGAGAAAAAUUUACCUUCAAAACAUAAUCGGUUUGGAGAUUUUCCCUUUGUCCUUCAACUGAAAUGGCCUGUGAGUAUUAUGUAAAUCUCUAAAACCUCUAACACAAAAGGGUGGUAAGAUUUACUAAAAGGAAUGUUAUGAGACUUUACAAUUACCUUCAUGUAGGUGUCAAUAUCUGGAUCGGGGACUAUUCCUGCUUCUUUUUCCCUUCUGCUGAGCUCCAUUAUUAUAUAUGCAUAAAAUACGAUCGAAAUUAAACUUCAUACGUCAAUAGAAGUACACGACUAACCCAAUAGUAAAUGCAAUAGGGGAUAAGGAAUAUGCACCAGCUCUACUGCCAACACCCUGGCAGCGGGAGGAAAAGUCAAUUGUUUCCCUCAGUCAUCUCAGGCAGGUGAAGGUCAUGCUGGCUAAUGUAAGCUGAUGUUUUUUGGGGAACAAACUCAUCUAGCUUGUAACCAUUAUAAGUGUUGUAAACUGAAAUAGAAAGGAACGAAGUUACCUAAAAAAAUGUAGAAGCCUUGAGUGGUGAAUGAUUAUUGGGAUGAGUUGCGGACUAAGUCGCUUUCUUUAAGACGUUUCGCGGCUCUACCCAAAGUGUGCAAGCAGUUCACAAACACCACAUCGUCCUAGGAUAAAACAGCCCAAAACCUUCUUCUUCUUCUUCUGAUAAAGUUCUUCCUUGUACAGUAGAAGAACCUUCGAAUUCACAUUCUCUCAAUAUGUUGCUAACCAAAACUAUAUAUUAGAAAAUAUAUCUUCUUUUUUUUCCGCAUACUUUCAAUGAUCCAGGGACUACUAUAUAUACAUUUAGACGAAAGAGAUGUUGAGGGUUUGAGAAAAUUGAAAGCAGGACAAAAUCAAAACGUAAGUCAAAUAAAACGGUUUGAUUAUGUAUCAUGACAUGAUCUUCUUCUCUAUACAAAGAAGGAAUGGCACGUUUCAAACUUAAAAGGAGAUAACUCCUUACCUAAUUGAAAAGUCAAAAUCAAUUGGCAGUUAUGCAUAGAAUAUUGGUAAUAAAACAAAACGUUAUGUAUAUAAUAUUGGUAAUAAAAUAAAACAUAAAUAUAUUUAAAUAUUUAAAUAAAAACAUAUUUACUCAACAAUCCCCCACUUGUUUUUGUUUAAAACUAUACAUCAAGCAAUAUAUCGUAAAGCUAUACAGAAGUAAAUGUGUUUCUCAACUUAAAUCUAUACAUAGUGUUAGUGAUCGAGAUUAUACUAGAGUAACUUAUAGUUUUGAACUCUAUCCCUAACAACACCACACACACAACUUUAUUAAGGUGAAGUUCAAAAAGCCAGCACAUUACAACCAUGUGCUUGUAUCCCAGUAUAGUGAACGCUCUAGAAACUUGCUCAAGAUUUCAUAGGAAGCGGCAUCACUUCCACAUUCACAUAGUUAAGACUAUCAAGGUAUUCCUGUAGCUAGAUAUCUCACUUAACAUAGAGUAUAGACCUUACUAAGAGAAAAAAAAAUCUCAACCUAAAUACGCUUCAGGAUGUCAUGCUUCUUAGGGAUGGACAUGGAAUAAUAUUCCAAACUAAAAUUAGCAAGACUUCACUCUUAUCACUUGUGACUUGUUAUUACCCUUUGAACCUAUUUCUUGGGAUCUCUAGUCUAUAGGUUGGGUUGCUAUCACAAAUAACUCAAUUCUCUAGGGCUUUAGUCCCAUCCCUUUCGAGGUUUUCCAAACCUUUUCUCGUGCUAGUCCUUUUGUCAAAGGAUCAACCAAGUUUUCUUCAUACCGUAUAUGAUCCACUCUCACAGCUCCAUUAGACAGGUAAUCUCUUACAGUGAUGUGCUUACGACGUAUUUGUCGCCCUUUCCCAUUAUAAUAAUGAUUUUGCACUUUAGCUAUUGCCGAUGUGCUAUCACAAUGGAUCAAAACUGCUGGAAUCGGUUUCUCCCAUAAAGAGGUAUCUGACAGUAGGUUUCUCAACCAUCCUGCUUCUUCGCUUGUCGUAGCUAGCGCUAUUAAUUCUGACUCCAUAGUGGACUGAGCCAUGAUAGUAUGUUUCUUAGACUUCCAUGAUACAACCCCACCACCAAGACUAAAAAUACAUCCACUAGUGGCUUUAGAGUCAUCUGAAAGGGUAUUCCAAUCAGCGGCACUGCAACCUUCUAGGACAGCGGGAAACUUCUCAUAGUGUAAUCUAAAAUUCAUUGUCCUUUUAAGGUAUCUCAUAAGCCUAUCUAUGGCAUGCCAAUGCUCCAAACUAGGUCUACUAGUAAACCUGCAUCAAACUCCUACGACAUAAGAUAUAUCAGGCCUAGUGCAAUCAGUAGCAUAACGAAUGCUACCAAUAAUACUCGCAUACUCAGAUUGUUUAACACUGUCACCAAUGUUCUUGAACAAUUUUACACUAGGAUCAUGAGGAGUACAUGCUGGUUUACAAUCAAAAUAAUUAUACUUUCUUAAAAUUGUUUCUAUGUAGUGAGAUUGAUCUAAAGAAAACCCAUGUUCAAACCUAGUUAUUUUCAAACCAAGUAUUACGCUAACUUCACCCAAGUCUUUCAUAUCAAAAUUAGCAGAUAACAAAGAUUUGACAUUAUUCACAACAUGAAUAUUCGAACCAAAAAUAAGCAAAUCAUCCACAUAUAGGCAUAUAUUACUUUCAGACUUAUAAUAGAUGCAUUUGUCACUUUCAUUUAUUUUAAAACCAUUUGAAGUAACCAAACUAUCAAAUUUUGCAUGCCAUUGUGUGGGAGCCUGUUUCAAUCCAUAAAGUGACUUAUUUAACUUGCAAACUUUAUUUUCUUUUCUUGGAAUAAUAAAACCUGUGGUUGACCCAUAUAUAUUUCUUCCUCUAAUUUACCAUUUAAGAAAGCUGUUUAACAUCCAUUUGGUGCACAACAAGAUCAUGAAUAUAAGUUAAGGCAAACAAUACACGAAUAGAUGUUAUUCUAGUCACAGGUGAACAAAUAUAAAAGAAAUCAAUCUUUUCUCUUUGUCUAUAGCCUUUGGCAAUAAGUCGGGCUUUAAAAUUUUCAACUGAUCCAUCAGGUUUUAAAUUUUUUUUAAGAAUCUAUUUGCAACCUAUUGUUUUGCAACCAGGUGGAAGAUCCACCAAGUGCCAAGUUUGAUUUGACUCCAGGGAGUCCAUUUCAUCAUUUAUAACUUCUUGCCAAAAAAUUGCAUCUAAAGAAGUUAAAGCUUCUUGAAUUGUAUUAGGAUCUUCUUGUAAGUUAUAUACAUGGAAAUCAGGGCCAAAAUCUUUAGCUAUUCGAGCUCUUUUACUUUUCCUAGGUUCUAAUGCAGAUUGACUAUGUUUUACAACAUUAGGUUCAUAAAUUUUAGAAGAAUUAGAACCCCCACUAUUUUGAAGAUUAAAAGGAAAUUUAUUCUCAUAAAAAUCAGCAUCAAGUGACUCAAUUAUGACAUGGUUUUUCAAAUCAUAACAUCUAUAUGCUUUGCUAUUACAUGCAUAACCAAUAAAAACACAUUCAUAUGCUCUACUAGCCAAUUUCGAUCUUUUUGGACCAAGUUUACGAACAUAAGCUAAACAACCCCAAGUUUUGAAAUACAAUACAUUUGUUUUCUUAUUUUUCCAAAUUUCAUAAGGAGAGAUAUUCGAUUCUGAGGUAGGAAUUCUAUUUAAUACAUAACAUAUAGUCAACACAAUUUCACCCCACCAAUAAGAAGCAGCUCCAGAACUAAGUAGCAACACUCAAUUCGCAAAGAGUUCGAUUUUUUCUUUCCGCUUUACCAUUCAUUUCAGGAGAAUAAGGAGCAGUAGUUUCAUGAAUAAUUCCAUUAGACUUAAACAAAUUAACAAAUUCAAUGGAUUCAUAUUCUUGUCAUCUAUCACUACGAAAUCUUUUAAUCUUAUGAUUAAACUGAUUUUCAACUUCAGUAAAGAAAGUUUUGAACAUGUCAAUAGCUUUACUUUUAUUUUUCAUAAGAUAGACAAAACAGUAAUUCAAACAAUCAUCAAUAAAGGUAAUAAAAUAACGUUUUCCAUUUCUAGUUAACACUCUAUCAAAUUCGCAUAUAUCAGAAUGAAUUAAGUCAAGUGGUUCAGAUUCUCUAUUGACAGAUUUAUGUGAAGUUCUAGUGAUUUUAGCUUGACUACAAUAUUCACAUUUUUCAAAAUCAGUCAACGAUAAGUUAGGUAAAAAGCCUAAGUUACUCAUGUUCUUAACCAAGAGUUUGUUAACAUGACAAAGUCUAGCAUGCCAAGUAUUAAAAGAAGACAACAUGUAAUCAGAAGUAGACAUUUUAUCAACAUUCAAUUUAAACAUUCCAUUAGUAGCAUAUCCCUUUCCCACAAAAACCCCAUUUCUAGUAAGAGUAUACGUAUUUGCUCCAAACGUUUGAGUGAAUCCAGCCUUGUUGAGAAGUAAGCCUGAGACCAAAUUCUUCCUUAUUGUUGGAGCAUGCAUCACAUCUUUCAGUAUCAUGGGUUUUCCAGAGGUGAACUUUAACUCCACCUCUCCAGUACCAGCAACAUCAGUUGAGUGCGAAUCACCCAACAACACAUUUCUUCCCUCAGCCAUAGAAUAGGUCUUGAAAAGAGAACGAUCGUAGCAAGCAUGGGGAGAAGUGCCAGUGUCCACCCACCACCCACCACCCCUCGGACUAAGUUGAUUUCUGAUAUCAUUGCAAUUAGUUGCUCUUCAACAAGAUUUGUUUGAGAAGCAAAGUUUUCCUUAUAAUGCAUGGCAGAUUGAAUUCAUCUUAAAAUUGUUGUAAACUGAAAUAGAAAGGAACGAAAUUACUCAAAAAAAAUGUAGAAGCCUUGAGUGGUGAAUGAUUCUUGGGAUGAGUCAGGGACUAAGUCACUUUCUUUAAAACAUUUUGCGGCUUUGCCCAAAGUGUGCAAGCAGUUCACAAACACCACGUCGUCCCCAGGAUAUAACAUCCCAAAACCUUCUUCUUCUGAUGAAGUUCUUCCUUGCACAGUGGAAGAACCUUCGAACUCACACUCUCUCUCAAUAUGUUGCUAACCAAAACUAUAUAUCAGAAAAUAUAUCUAUUUUUGUUCCGCAUACUUUCACUACUAAAUAUACAUUUAGACGAAAAAGACGUUGAGAGUUUGAGAAAAUUGAAAGCAGGAAUAAAACGGUCUUAGGUCCGAUUCUCGCCGAAGGCGAAUUUGAACCACUAAACCGUAGCACUAAGUGGCUCCUAACAAUGUCUCUUAACAAGUUUAGAGGUAUUUGUCUUCACUAAUAAAUGAAAAGCGUUUGAAUUUCAUGAAUGACAAGUGCAAUACAAAAUUCAAAUUAUCAUGGUUCUUCCAUUAUAUGAUUUAACCAAAGCAUACCAUCUCUUAGUGUAAAUAUAUCAUUGAACUAUCAUUGAAGUAGUUCCAACAUUCGUAUACCAUCUUAAUUAUCAAUUUACUAUUACAAAAUUUCUAUUAAUUUUUCUUUACAAACUAAAGUGUUAUUAGGCUAAGUUGUUAAAUAUUAGGAGAUGAGUAGGGAUCGACCCACCGCCAAAGUACAUAUAUAGGUAUUACUGUUUUCUGCUACUAUGAUAAAGUGUAAUAUACUUCUAUAUAUUAAAAGAAAAUUCACUGAUACAUUUCCACAUGUAAACAUUCAACAUUGGACAUAUAUAAUAUUUUUCCCUACUUCUUUGGAAAUUUAAUUUUCCAAUGCAAUAGGCAAAUAGGGAAACAAAGACAAUCCCAACUGGGAAAGCAAUGAGAACAAGAGCCACAAGGCCUAAACAAUCAUGGUGGAAACCAUAAUAAUCUUGUAGGAUUAUUUUCUAUUUAAAAAACGUAUGUGAACAUACACAUUAUUUUCUAUUAUAAUAUGUGUAAGUUUAUGAAGGGAAAUAUUCACUAAAAUGAUCAAAAAUCAAAUUCUGAUGCCAAAACAAAAUCAAAUAUUGUCAUACUGAAAAACUAAUCAUUUCAACAAAUGAGAUUCAAAUAUUUGAUUAUUUUGGCCAAUUUUCCUGUAUUGAUACCCUAACCUAAAGUAUAAAUUACUUGCACAUCCAAAUUAUAACACAUGAAUUAACAACACUCCGUCAAUUAGACUUGUGUUACAUGUAUUUACACGGUUAUUGUCAUUCCAAGUGCUCAAAUGCUAAUGGAGUUACACAAAACCAUCAAAUAUUAGAAAAGAUUGGAUUCAAGAUAUACUAAGUAUAAUGUACAGAAUGUUGCAUAUAAAGUACCAGAAAACUUUAGUAGGUGACCAAGAGAACCCUAUUGCAGGAUAUGCAACGGCUACAUACAAAACUUGUAACAUUGUAUAAUGUAUUUUAAUGGCAACAUGCAACAUUUAACACUUUACACUAUAUUUGGAUGAGGAAGUUUAAGAUUGCUAAGGAAAUUUAAAGUAACGGAAAUUGAAAUGAUGGAAUUUUAUUUUAUAGAAUAUGUGAAUUUUCUUGUUUGGUUGAGGAAAAUAAACUUGGAAUUUAGAUAAAAGUCAGAAUUUGUAAAUUGACAUGCACCAGUUUCCUUGUUUGGAUUCAUAAACAUAUAUAGGAAUUUAGAAUUUUCGGGUGAAAAAAAAACUUGGAAUUUGGGACCUCCAAUUCCCAAGUUUAAAUUCCAUGUAAAUAUGUAUCAUUUCCCAAUUUCUAUGAUUGAGUGCUUAAAAAUAACAAAUUCCGUAAUCAAUUCCAUUUAUUUUUAGGUUAACCAAACAAGAGAAUUCACAAAUUCUAGAAAAUAAAAUCCUGUCAAUUCAAUUUCCGUCAUUUUAAAAUUCCUUAGUAAUCUUAAAUUUCUUCAUCCAAACAUAGUGUUAAGAACAAUGGAAUUUGAAAUGAAAUUUGUUAUUUUAAACCCUCAUUCAUGAAAAUUCAGAAAUGACACCAAUUUACAUAGAAUUUAAAAUGGGAAUUAGAUGUCCCAAAUUCCAAGUUUUUUUCUCAUGCAGAAAUUCUAAAUUUCUAUGUUUAUGAAUCCAAACAAGAGAAUUGGUACAUGUUAAUUUUUAAAUUCCAGCUUUUAUCAAAAUUCCAAGUUUAUUUCCCUCAUCCAAACAUAGUGUUAGUUUAAAACUGUGAAGAUUUUGAUUUAUCGAUUACAAACUAAAUAAGUACUUGAAUUCUUAGGCACUUCAACGUAUGAACUUGUGCAAAUGAACAAGGUCGGCCCUGAGAUUUUGAAGGCCCGAGCUAAGCUACCAAAUAGGAGCCCUUUAAUUCUUAGGCACUCCAAUUGGUUGUAGGUUCAUAUACAUUUUAUUUUUAUAGUAAAUACUCAUUAAUUUAUUAUUAUAUCGUACUCUUAUUUAAUUAAUAAUCAACAAUAUGCUAAAGUUUUAAGAAGGUGUUUGGACCCAAAAUUACAUCAUCGGCCCGUGCAAUCAAGGCCGUUGAGUAGGCAUAGCUCUCAAUCGUCGGAUAAAAAAGCAGAGAUAAUUUUGUUAUUAAAGGAUAAUAUUAUGGUUUUUAUCAUAAUUAUCUUUUAAUGAUUUAUCUCGACAUCUUCUUAUGAAAGAGGGAAAAUAUAUCUCCAAGCUGGAAACACGCAGCACAAUUCAAAGCGAUUUGGAUGUUUGGCGUGUGGAUGUGGUUUGGAUCGGUUUUAGUUGACAAAUAUGCAUGCAUGUGAUAAGGGUGAAGUAAAAAUGGUGAUAUGCUUUGAAAAUGAGUCUACAUGUGUUGGUGAUAAGAUGGCAGCAACUGCCUUGCUGACAAUUAACAUUGGGUAUUUUAUGCUAAAUCAUGCAUAUUGGUAUAUGCUUUUGUAUUGUGGGCCAGCAUAUGUUUUUUUUUUAUGGAGCCAAAUUCAUUUAACAAUGGAUAUUUGGAACAAUAAGAAGUUUAAGUAGGCAUAGGCCUUUGAGAGUUUGAGUUUCAGUUGGUUUCUACGAAAUCAUCAAGGCCACGCCAAGCGGGAUCAUGCAUAUUUGAAAGAGAAUAUUCCUAUUAUUUUGCAACUUACGACGGCAAUCUUACGGUUAUAGAGGCAAUGACAACAUAAAGGUGGUAUUUCGAAUUCAACACACAAACUGCCAUGCACAAACUCUUGCUCUACGCGAAACCUCUUAACAACCUUGAGAUUUUUAUUUUCCUUUUUCGCCAACACAUCUUCAGUUUGGAUAAAUAGCACUAUGAAGGCAACCGGUGAACAUCUUCACUUUGGAUAAACAAUACUAUAACCGUAGAACCAUUCGACCAUGAAGCACCUUUAGUUUGGAUAAACAACAUUGCUCCGAGACCGAUUGAUUACCUAUCCAAGUCUCGGUCAAGAAGAAUUUUCAAGUCCUUACUAGUAGAGAUCAUCUCAUCAGCCUUCUCGACGAAGUGAGGUGUUACCAGGUUACUACAUUCGGCACCCUGAGAGCCCAAUUUGAUAUUGAACUUCGUAGAACUAAUAGCCUUGUCUUCAGGUUCUAGAACCUGAAGGUCGAGACGUGUUCAUUUCUCGACCGCAGUCGUGAGAUUCAGAAGUCAAUAGUGCGCCCAAUGCAACAUCAACUCAUUUUACUUACCGGUCAAGCUCGACCGUCGAGUUGGCAUGCCCCACACACAACCGAAGGACAUAGUUAGCUUUUUAAUUACUCGGCUUGUGCGCCACGUAUACUUGAUAGUUUUUAAGAUCAACAGAAGGUAAAGAGCAAUAAAAACUGAUUAACGAAUUUAACAAAUUUAAUAGCGCCAAUUGAUCCUCUUGUAUUCUUCUUGAAAUCAAUUUCACAAUAACGAAUAUUAGAAUCAUGAGAUGAUUGAUAAUAAAUUAUUGAAACAGAGAAGAUAUAGCAAAUAAGAUAAGGUAGCUGGCAUUUGAUAGCGAUUUUGCUUGUAAAACUACACUUUUUGUCCAUCCAGAAGAAACCCAUUCUUCUGUUACAUGGCUUAACCGUGACCACACAAAACAGGAGAGCACGGGAAGGGCACCAGAAGUGGAGGGCAAACAAUCCUUGUCCGUGCUUUGUCCAUCGAGAAUAAGAAAUUGUAGGGACUAGGGGCCCAUUGCUCUUUUGAGAUGCAAGUUAAGGGACCUAACAAAGGGAAGUAAAAAGCAUUGGUAGGACAAAACAAGCCGUUUUAGGAAAACAACUUGGGGGAAGAUUCUCUCAUUUCCUAAUCUCUCUCCCAUUUUCUCUCCUUCUAUUUGAACGGUUACGGUUUAGCUACGUCAAUAUCUUAUAUAUAUAUUUUUAGAGACGAUAAGACAAAAAAUAAUAUGUGGGAGAAGGGAAAAGAAGGGGAUGAGAAUAGGAGGGGAGAUAAUUCUCUUCCAAACAACUUGCCUAUACAAUUCGGAUUCUAAGACGGUGGUAUCCCAAACGAAUCUCAUCCGACUAUGUGUUUAAACAUUGCACAUGACACCACGUGAUUGUUAAAACAUUGUCACCGUAGUGUAUUGUACAUAUACAUGAUUGUUUUGAAGUAACAUCAUCAUUGUGACAUAUUCAUGACGUAUGCUUAUCUCGCCGACUAGAGUUUCAGAUUCCUAACCAGGCGGGCAUAAACGUGCUUACAGCCUAAAAGGCCUUAACCUCAUAGAUCUGAAAACACAUUUCUGUCGGAGAAAUUGUCAAGAAUAAGAUACGAACUAGAGUUUACUCCGGGCAAGAUACCUGAGAUUUUUAGCCGUUAAAGUCAUUGAAUUCUUGACCAAUGAUCUAACAGCUAAGUUCACAUUGUAUAACCGAGGCACACUACAGAACGUAGAAAAAAAUAAUGGGGAUUAAAACGCUUCAUUGGGUAGAGGGAUAAGUGACAAAACAAUGAGAAAAAACACAUCAAUUGUAUUAGAAAUGCAACUUGCCAAUGUGCACAACAACAAAUGAACAUAGUUGCUACUCCACCGCAAAACCACCUCUGUGUCUGUCAAAUCUUAUUAAUCUCUGCGAGCAGAGGUAGCAAAACAACCUUGAAAAAAAACCCCCCACAACUUUCCAUAUGUUUUUUUUGACACCCCCGUUAACCCCUCAUAAUCAUAAACUACUAAUGACACAUUCUUCAAAGAACACGAAAAUAUAAAAAUACUAAUAAAAGAAAACCCAAAUGGCGCAAUGCCUGUAUAGAGAGAGAGAGAGAGAGCGAGAGCAGCAGAGGCUUAAUUCAAUUCAAUGUUUUGAUUCGAAGGGGUGAAGACUGAAGAGCCGCCAUUAAAGCUUUAAGCUUGGGGCUUGUCCCACUUGAGUGGCUUGACAACCUCCCAGGUGAAGUCGGGGUCAUCCCUCCCGAAGUGUCCGUAGGCGGCGGUCUUCAAAAACCUUCCAUUGCCACCCCUCUUGAG
rnacentral:lncRNA from 1 species